rnacentral:lncRNA from 1 species
UACUUACUCUCCCGCUCAAUCACGGAGACGAGUUUUCCACAGUUUCCACCCCUCCUUCCAUAGCACUAGAAAGCCGCCCCAAGACGAGCGAGCAAUGAGCAUCGAGCUAAAACAUAUCGCAACCGUCAAAAAUAAUAUAACGGGAUUAAUAUAUAUAGCGCACGUGCGAUAUGUUUGUCACAAGGAGCAAAAAAUAAUUAAAAAGGGAAUGCAACACGAGGACUUCCCAGGAGGUCACCCAUCCUAGUACUACUCUCGCCCAAGCACGCUUAACUUCGAAGUUCUGAUGGGAUCCGGUGCUUUAGUGCUGGUAUGAUCGCAUCCGACAUGUUUCCCCGACUUCGUCCCUUAUGCUUGCCACUCCCAGGUCCGCUCCAAAGACGAUUCUACAUUCUCACUAUCAUUACAACCGUUCCCUAACAAUGGAUAAUGUCCUAUACUACUUACUCUCCCGCUCAAUCACGGAGACGAGUUUUCCACGGUUUCCACCCCUCCUUCCAUAGCGCCACAAAGCCGCCCCAAGACGCAUGACCAAUGAGCAUCGAGCUUAAACAUAUCGCAAACGUCAAAAAUAAUAUAACGGGAUUAAUAUAUAUCACGCACGUGCGAUAUGUUUGUCACAAGGCGCCAAAAAUAAUUAAAAAGGGAAUGAACCACGAGGACUUCCCAGGAGGUCACCCAUCCUAGUACUACUCUCGCCCAAGCACGCUUAACCCAAGCACGCUUAACUUCGGAGUUCUGAUGGGAUCCGGUGCUUUAGUGCUGGUAUGAUCGCAUCCAACAUGUUUCCCCGUCUUCGUCCCUUAUGCUUACCACUCCCAGGUCCGCUCCAAAGACGAUUCUACAUUCUCACUACCAUUACAACCGUUCCCUAACAAUGGAUAAUGUCCUAUACUACUUACUCUCCCACACAAUCACGGAGACGAGUUUUCCACGGUUUCCACCCCUCCCUCCAUACCGCAGCAGCACGAGUUUUUUCCACCCCUUUCAGAACGCGCUCUUCGCGCCACAAAGUCGCCCCAAGACGCGCGAGCAAUGAGCAUCGAGCUUAAACAUAUCGCAAACGUCAAAAAUAAUAUAACAGGCUUAAUAUAUAUCGCGCAUGUGCGAUAUGUUUGUCACAAGGCGCAAAAAAUAAUUAAAAAGGGAAUGCAACACGAGGACUUCCCAGGAGGUCACCCACCCUAGUACUACUCUCGCCCAAGCACGCUUAACUUUAGAGUUCUGAUGGGAUCCGGUGCUUUAGUGCUGGUAUGAUCGCAUCCGACAAAUUUCCCCGUCUUCGUCCCUUAUGCUUGCCACUCCCAGGUCCACUCCAAAGACAAUUCUACAUUCUCACUACCAUUACAACCGUUCCCUAACAAUGGAUAAUGUCCUAUACUACUUACUCUCCCGCUCAAUCACGGAGACGAGUUUUCCACGGUUUCCACCCCUCCCUCCAUACCGCAGUAGCACGAGUUUUUUCCACCCCUUUCAGAACGCGCUCUUCGCGCCACAAAGCCGCCCCAAGACACGCGAGCAAUGAGCAUCGAGCUUAAACAUAUCGCAAACGUCAAAAAUAAUAUAACGGGAUUAAUAUAUAUCGCGCACGUGCGAUAUGUUUGUCACAAGGCGCAAAAAAUAAUUAAAAAGGGAAUGAACCACGAGGACUUCCCAGGAGGUCACCCAUCCUAGUACUACUCUCGCCCAAGCACGCUUAACCCAAGCACGCUUAACUUUGGAGUUCUGAUGGGAUCCGGUGCUUUAGUGCUGGUAUGAUCGCAUCCAACAUGUUUCCCCGUCUUCGUCCCUUAUGCUUACCACUCCCAGGUCCGCUCCAAAGACGAUUCUACAUUCUCACUACCAUUACAACCGUUCCCUAACAAUGGAUAAUGUCCUAUACUACUUACUCUCCCGCACAAUCACGGAGACGAGUUUUCCACGGUUUCCACCCCUCCCUCCAUACCGCAGCAGCACGAGUUUUUUCCACCCCUUUCAGAACGCGCUCUUCGCGCCACAAAGUCGCCCCAUGACGCGCGAGCAAUGAGCAUCGAGCUUAAACAUAUCGCAAACGUCAAAAAUAAUAUAACAGGCUUAAUUUAUAUCGCGCACGUGCGAUAUGUUUGUCACAAGGCGCAAAAAAUAAUUAAAAAGGGAAUGCAACAUGAGGACUUCCCAGGAGGUCACCCAUCCUAGUACUACUCUCGCCCAAGCAUGCUUAACUUUAGAGUUCUGAUGGGAUCCGGUGCUUUAGUGCUGGUAUGAUCGCAUCCGACAUGUUUCCCCGUCUUCUUCCCUUAUGCUUGCCACUCCCAGGUCCACUCCAAAGACAAUUCUACAUUAUCACUACCAUUACAACCGUUCCCUAACAAUGGAUAAUGUCCUAUACUACUUACUCUCCCGCUCAAUCACGGAGACGAGUUUUCCACGGUUUCCACCCCUCCCUCCAUACCGCAGUAGCACGAGUUUUUUCCACCCCUUUCAGAACGCGCUCUUCGCGCCACAAAGCCGCCCCAAGACACGCGAGCAAUGAGCAUCGAGCUUAAACAUAUCGCAAACGUCAAAAAUAAUAUAACGGGAUUAAUAUAUAUCGCGCACGUGCGAUAUGUUUGUCACAAGGAGCAAAAAAUAAUUAAAAAGGGAAUGCAAAACAAGGACUUCCCAGGAGGUCAUCCAUCCUAGUACUACUCUCGCUCAAGCACGCUUAACUUCGAAGUUCUGAUGGGAUCCGGUGCUUUAGUGCUAGUAUGAUCGCAUCCGACAUGUUUCCCCGUCUUCGUCCCCUAUGCUUGCCAUUCCCAGGUCCGAUCCAAAGACGAUUCUACAUUCUCACUACCAUUACAACCGUUCCCUAACAAUGGAUAAUGUCCUAUACUACUUACUCUCCCGCUCAAUCACGGGGAUAUGUUUGUCACAAGGCGCAAAAAAUAAUUAAAAAGGGAAUGCAAAACAAGGACUUCCCAGGAGGUCAUCCAUCCUAGUACUACUCUCGCUCAAGCACGCUUAACUUCGAAGUUCUGAUGGGAUCCGGUGCUUUAGUGCUGGUAUGAUCGCAUCCGACAUGUUUCCCCGUCUUCGUCCCCUAUGCUUGCCACUCCCAGGUCGGAUCCAAAGACGAUUCUACAUUCUCACUACCAUUACAACCGUUCCCUAAUAAUGGAUAAUGUCCUAUACUACUUACUCUCCCGCUCAAUCACGGGGAUGAGUUUUCCACGGUUUCCACCCCUCCCUCCAUACCGCAGCAGCACGAGUUUUUUCCACCCCUUUCAGAACGCGCUCUUCGCGCCACAAAAGCCGCCCCAAGACGCGCGUGCAAUGAGCAUCGAUCUUAAACAUAUCGCAAACGUCAAAAAUAAUAUAACGGGAAUAAUAUAUAUCGCGCACGUGCGAUAUGUUUGUCACAAGGUGCAAAAAAUAAUUAAAAAGGGAAUGCAACACAAGGACUUCCCAGGAGGUCAUCCAUCCUAGUACUACUCUCGCUCAAGCACGCUUAACUUCGAAGUUCUGAUGGGAUCCGGUGCUUUAGUGCUGGUAUGAUCGCAUCCGACAUGUUUCCCCGUCUUCGUCCCCUAUGCUUGCCACUCCCAGGUCCGAUCCAAAGACGAUUCUACAUUCUCACUACCAUUACAACCGUUCCCUAACAAUGGAUAAUGUCCUAUACUACUUACUCUCCCGCUCAAUCACGGGGAUAUGUUUGUCACAAGGCACAAAAAAUAAUUAAAAAGGGAAUGCAAAACAAGGACUUCCCAGGAGGUCAUCCAUCCUAGUACUACUCUCGCUCAAGCACGCUUAACUUCGAAGUUCUGAUGGGAUCCGGUGCUUUAGUGCUGGUAUGAUCGCAUCCGACAUGUUUCCCCGUCUUCGUCCCCUAUGCUUGCCACUCCCAGGUCCGAUCCAAAGACGAUUCUACAUUCUCACUACCAUUACAACCGUUCCCUAACAAUGGAUAAUGUCCUAUACUACUUACUCUCCCGCUCAAUCACGGGGAUGAGUUUUCCACGGUUUCCACCCCUCCCUCCAUACCGCAGCAGCACGAGUUUUUUCCACCCCUUUCAGAACGCGCUCUUCGCGCCACAAAGCCGCCCCAAGACGCGCGUGCAAUGAGCAUCGAUCUUAAACAUAUCGCAAACGUCAAAAAUAAUAUAACGGGAUUAAUAUAUAUCGCGCACGUGCGAUAUGUUUGUCACAAGGCGCAAAAAAUAAUUAAAAAGGGAAUGCAACACGAGGACUUCCCAGGUGGUCACCCAUCCUAGUACUACUCUCGCCCAAGCACGCUUAACUUUGGAGUUCUGAUGGGAUCCGGUGCUUUAAUGCUGGUAUGAUCGCAUCCGAUAUGUUUCCCCGUCUUCGUCCCUUAUGCUUGCCACUCCCAGGUCCGCUCCAAAGACGAUUCUACAUUCUCACUACCAUUACAACCGUUCCCUAACAAUGGAUAAUGUCCUAUACUACUUACUCUCCCGCUCAAUCACGGAGACGAGUUUUCCAUGGUUUCCACCCCUGCUUCCAUAGCGCCACAAAGCCGCCCCAAGACGCGCGACCAAUGAGCAUCGAGCUUAAACAUAUCGCAAACGUCAAAAAUAAUAUAACGGGAUUAAUAUAUAUCGCGUACGUGCGAUAUGUUUGUCACAAGGUGCAAAAAAUAAUUAAAAAGGGAAUGCAACACGAGGACUUCCCAGGAGGUCACCCAUCCUAGUACUACUCUCGCCCAAGCACGCUUAACCCAAGCACGCUUAACUUCGGAGUUCUGAUGGGAUCCGGUGCUUUAGUGCUGGUAUGAUCGCAUCCAACAUGUUUCCCCGUCUUCGUCCCUUAUGCUUGCCACUCCCAGGUCCGCUCCAAAGACGAUUCUACAUUCUCACUACCAUUACAACCGUUCCCUAACAAUGGAUAAUGUCCUAUACUACUUACUCUCCCGCACAAUCACAGAGACGAGUUUUCCACGGUUUCCACCCCUCCCUCCAUACCGCAGCAGCACGAGUUUUUUCCACCCCUUUUAGAAUGCGCUCUUCGCGCCACAAAGUCGCCCCAAGACGCGCGAGCAAUGAGCAUCGAGCUUAAACAUAUCGCAAACGUCAAAAAUAAUAUAACAAGAUUAAUAUAUAUCGCGCACGUGCGAUAUGUUUGUCAUAAGGCGCAAAAAAUAAUUAAAAAGGGAAUGCAACACAAGGACUUCCCAGGAGGUCACCCAUCCUAGUACUACUCUCACCCAAGCACGCUUAACUUUGGAGUUCUAAUGGGAUCCGGUGCUUUAGUGCUGGUAUGAUCGCAUCCAACAUGUUUCCCCGUCUUCGUCCCUUAUGCUUGCCACUCCCAGGUCCGCUCCAAAGACAAUUCUACAUUCUCACUACCAUUACAACCGUUCCCUAACAAUGGAUAAUGUCCUAUACUACUUACUCUCCCGCUCAAUCACGGAGACGAGUUUUCCACGGUUUCCACCCCUCCCUCCAUACCGCAGUAGCACGAGUUUUUUUCACCCCUUUCAGAACGCGCUCUUCGCGCCACAAAGCCGCACCAAGACACACGAGCAAUGAGCAUCGAGCUUAAACAUAUCGCAAACGUCAAAAAUAAUAUAAGGGAUUAAUAUAUAUCGCGCACAUGCGAUUUGUUUGUCACAAGGCGCAAAAAAUAAUUAAAAAGAGAAUACAACACGAGGACUUCCCAAGAGGUCACCCAUCCUAGUACUACUCUCGCCCAAGCACGCUUAACUUCGGAGUUCUGAUGGGAUUCGGUGCCUUAGUGCUGGUAUGAUCGCAUCCAAAAUGUUUCCCCGUCUUCGUCCCUUAUGCUUGCCACUCCCAGGUCCGAUCCAAAGACGAUUCUACAUUCUCACUACCAUUACAACCGUUCCCUAACAAUGGAUAAUGUCCUAUACUACUUACUCUCCCGCUCAAUCACGGAGACGAGUUUUCCACGGUUUCCACCCCUCCUUCCAUAGCGCCACAAAGCCGCCCCAAGACGCGCGACCAAUGAGCAUCGAGCUUAAACAUAUCGCAAACGUCAAAAAUAAUAUAACGGGAUUAAUAUAUAUCGCGUACGUGCGAUAUGUUUGUCACAAGGCGCAAAAAAUAAUUAAAAAGGGAAUGCAACACGAGGACUUCCCAGGAGGUCACCCAUCCUAGUACAUAGUCUCGCCCAAGCACGCUUAACCCAAGCACGCUUAACUUCGGAGUUCUGAUGGGAUCCGGUGCUUUAGUGCUGGUAUGAUCGCAUCCAACAUGUUUCCCUGUCUUCGUCCCUUAUGCUUGCCACUCCCAGGUCCGCUCCAAAGACGAUUCUACAUUCUCACUACCAUUACAACCGUUCCCUAACAAUGGAUAAUGUCCUAUACUACUUACUCUCCCGCACAAUCACAGAGACGAGUUUUCCACGGUUUCCACCCCUCCCUCCAUACUGCAGCAACACGAGUUUUUUCCACCCCUUUCAGAAUGCGCUCCUCGCGCCACAAAGUCGCCCCAAGACGCGCGAGCAAUGAGCAUCGAGCUCAAACAUAUUGCAAACGUCAAAAAUAAUAUAACAAGAUUAAUAUAUAUCGCGCACGUGCGAUAUGUUUGUCAUAAGGCGCAAAAAAUAAUUAAAAAGGGAAUGCAACACGAGGACUUCCUAGGAGGUCACCCAUCCUAGUACUACUCUCGCCCAAGCACGCUUAACUUCGGAGUUCUAAUGGGAUCCGGUGCUUUAGUGCUGGUAUGAUCGCAUCCGACAUGUUUCCCCGUCUUCGUCCCUUAUGCUUGCCACUCCCAGGUCCGCUCCAAAGACAAUUCUACAUUCUCACUACCAUUACAACCGUUCCCUAACAAUGGAUAAUGUCCUAUACUACUUACUCUCCCGCUCAAUCACGGAGACGAGUUUUCCACGGUUUCCACCCCUCCCUCCAUACCGCAGUAGCACGAGUUUUUUCCACCCCUUUCAGAACGCGCUCUUCGCGCCACAAAGCCGCCCCAAGACACGCGAGCAAUGAGCAUCGAGCUUAAACAUAUCGCAAACGUCAAAAAUAAUAUAACGGGAUUAAUAUAUAUCGCGCACAUGCGAUAUGUUUGUCACAAGGCGCAAAAAAUAAUUAAAAAGGGAAUGCAACACGAGGACUUCCCAGGAGGUCACCCAUCCUAGUACUACUCUCGCCCAUGCACGCUUAACUUCGGAGUUCUGAUGGGAUCCGGUGCUUUAGUGCUGGUAUGAUCGCAUCCGACAUGUUUCCCCGUCUUCGUCCCUUAUGCUUGCCACUCCCAGGUCCGAUCCAAAGAUGAUUCUACAUUCUCACUACCAUUACAACCGUUCCCUAACAAUGGAUAAUGUCCUAUACUACUUACUCUCCCGCUCAAUCACGGAGAUGAGUUUUCCACGGUUUCCACCCCUCCCUCCAUACCGCAGCAGCACGAGUUUUUUCCACCCCUUUCAGAACGCGCUCUUCGCGCCACAAAGCCGCCCCAAGACGCGCGAGCAAUGAGCAUCGAGCUUAAACAUAUCGCAAACGUCAAAAAUAAUAUAACGGGAUUAAUAUAUAUCGCGCACGUGCGAUAUGUUUGUCACAAGGCGCAAAAAAUAAUUAAAAAGGGAAUGCAACACGAGGACUUCCCAGGAGGUCACCCAUCAGUACUCUCGCCCAAGCACGCUUAACUUCGGAGUUCUGAUGGGAUCCGGUGCUUUAGUGCUGGUAUGAUCGCAUCCGACAUGUUUCCCCGUCUUCGUCCCUUAUGCUUGCCACUCCCAGGUCCACUCCAAAGACGAUUCUACAUUCUCACUACCAUUACAACCGUUCCCUAACAAUGGAUAAUGUCCUAUACUACUUACUCUCCCGCUCAAUCACGGAGACGAGUUUUCCACGGUUUCCACCCCUCCUUCCAUAGCACCACAAAGCCGCCCCAAGACGCGCGACCAAUGAGCAUCGAGCUUAAACAUAUCGCAAACGUCAAAAAUAAUAUAACGGGAUUAAUAUAUAUCGCGUACGUGUGAUAUGUUUGUCACAAGGCGCAAAAAAUAAUUAAAAAGGGAAUGCAACACGAGGACUUCCCAGGAGGGCACCCAUCCUAGUACUACUCUCGCCCAAGCACGCUUAACCCAAGCACGCUUAACUUCGGAGUUCUGAUGGGAUCCGGUGCUUUAGUGCUGGUAUGAUCGCAUCCAACAUGUUUCCCCGUCUUCGUCCCUUAUGCUUGCCACUCCCAGGUCCGCUCCAAAGACGAUUCUACAUUCUCACUACCAUUACAACCGUUCCCUAACAAUGGAUAAUGUCCUAUACUACUUACUCUCCCGCACAAUCACAGAGACGAGUUUUCCACGGUUUCCACCCCUCCCUCCAUACCGCCGCAGCACGAGUUUUUUCCACCCCUUUCAGAAUGCGCUCUUCGCGCCACAAAUUCGCCCCAAGACGCGCGAGCAAUGAGCAUCGAGCUUAAACAUAUCGCAAACGUCAAAAAUAAUAUAACAAGAUUAAUAUAUAUCGCGCACGUGCGAUAUGUUUGUCAUAAGGCGCAAAAAAUAAUUAAAAAGGGAAUGCAACACGAGGACUUCCCAGGAGGUCACCCAUCCUAGUACUACUCGCGCCCAAGCACGCUUAACUUCGGAGUUCUAAUGGGAUCCGGUGCUUUAGUGCUGGUAUGAUCGCAUCCAACAUGUUUCCCCGUCUUCGUCCCUUAUGCUUGCCACUCCCAGGUCCGCUCCAAAGACAAUUCUACAUUCUCACUACCAUUACAACCGUUCCCUAACAAUGGAUAAUGUCCUAUACUACUUACUCUCCCGCUCAAUCACGGAGACGUGUUUUCCACGGUUUCCACCCCUCCCUCCAUCCCGCAGUAGCACGAGUUUUUUUCACCCCUUUCAGAACGCGCUCUUCGCGCCACAAAGCCGCCCCAAGACACGCGAGCAAUGAGCAUCGAGCUUAAACAUAUCGCAAACGUCAAAAAUAAUAUAAUGGGAUUAAUAUAUAUCGCGCACAUGCGAUAUGUUUGUCACAAGGCGCAAAAAAUAAUUAAAAAGGGAAUACAACACGAGGACUUCCCAGGAGGUCACCCAUCCUAGUACUACUCUCGCCCAAGCACGCUUAACUUCGGAGUUCUGAUGGGAUCCGGUGCUUUAGUGCUGGUAUGAUCGCAUCCAACAUGUUUCCCCGUCUUCGUCCCUUAUGCUUGCCACUCCCAGGUCCGAUCCAAAGACGAUUCUACAUUCUCACUACCAUUACAACCAUUCCCUAACAAUGGAUAAUGUCCUAUACUACUUACUCUCCCGCUCAAUCACGGAGACGAGUUUUCCACGGUUUCCACCCCUCCUUCCAUAGCGCCACAAAGCCGCCCCAAGACGCGCGACCAAUGAGCAUCGAGCUUAAACAUAUCGCAAACGUCAAAAAUAAUAUAACGGGAUUAAUAUAUAUCGCGUACGUGCGAUAUGUUUGUCACAUGGCGCAAAAAAUAAUUAAAAAGGGAAUGCAACACGAGGACUUCCCAGGAGGUCACCCAUCGUAGUACUACUCUCGCCCAAGCACGCUUAACCCAAGCACGCUUAACUUCGGAGUUCUGAUGGGAUCCGGUGCUUUAGUGCUGGUAUGAUCGCAUCCAACAUGUUUCCCCGUCUUCGUCCCUUAUGCUUGCCACUCCCAGGUCCGCUCCAAAGACGAUUCUACAUUCUCACUACCAUUACAACUGUUCCCUAACAAUGGAUAAUGUCCUAUACUACUUAAUCUCCCGCACAAUCACAGAGACGAGUUUUCCACGGUUUCCACCCCUCCCUCCAUAUCGCAGCAGCACGAGUUUUUUCCACCCCUUUCAGAAUGCGCUCUUCGCGCCACAAAGUCGCCCCAAGACGCGCGAGCAAUGAGCAUCGAGCUUAAACAUAUCGCAAACAUCAAAAAUAAUAUAACAAGAUUAAUAUAUAUCGCGCACGUGCGAUAUGUUUGUCAUAAGGCGCAAAAAAUAAUUAAAAAGGGAAUGCAACACGAGGACUUCCCAGGAGGUCACCCAUCCUAGUACUACUCUCGCCCAAGCACGCUUAACUUCGGAGUUUUGAUGGGAUCCGGUGCUUUAGUGCUAGUAUGAUCGCAUCCGACAUGUUUCCCCGUCUUCGUCCCUUAUGCUUGCCACUCCCAGGUCCGCUCCAAAGACAAUUAUACAUUCUCACUACCAUUACAACCGUUCCCUAACAAUGGAUAAUGUCCUAUACUACUUACUCUCCCGCUCAAUCACGGAGAUGAGUUUUCCACGGUUUCCACCCCUCCCACCAUACCGCAGUAGCACGAGUUUUUUCCACCCCUUUCAGAACGCGCUCUUUGCGCCACAAAGCCGCCCCAAGACACGCGAGCAAUGAGCAUCGAGCUUAAACAUAUCGCAAACGUCAAAAAUAAUAUAACGGGAUUAAUAUAUAUCGCGCACAUGCGAUAUGUUUGUCACUAGGCGCAAAAAAUAAUUAAAAAGGGAAUGCAACACGAGGACUUCCUAGGAGGUCACCCAUCCUAGUAUUACUCUCGCCCAAGCACGCUUAACUUCGAAGUUCUGAUGGGAUCCGGUGCUUUAGUGCUGGUAUGAUCGCAUCCGACAUGUUUCCCCGUCUUCGUCCCUUAUGCUUGCCACUCCCAGGUCCGAUCCAAAGACGAUUCUACAUUUUCACUACCAUUACAACCGUUCCCUAACAAUGGAUAAUGUCCUAUACUACUUACUCUCCCGCUCAAUCACGGAGAUGAGUUUUCCACGGUUUCCACCCCUCCCUCCAUACCGCAGCAACACGAGUUUUUUCCACCCCUUUCAGAACGCGCUCUUCGCGCCACAAAGCCGCCCCAAGACGCGCGAGCAAUGAGCAUCGAGCUUAAACAUAUCGCAAACGUCAAAAAUAAUAUAACGGGAUUAAUAUAUAUCGCGCACGUGCGAUAUGCUUGUCACAAGGCGCAAAAAAUAAUUAAAAAGGGAAUGCAACACGAGGACUUCCCAGGAGGUCACCCAUCCUAGUACUACGCUCGCCCAAGCACGCUUAACUUCGAAGUUCUGAUGGGAUCCGGUGCUUUAGUGCUGGUAUGAUCGCAUCCGACAUGUUUCCCCGUCUCCGUCCCUUAUGCUUGCCACUCCCAGGUCCGCUCCAAAGACGAUUCUACAUUCUCACUACUAUUACAACCGUUCCCUAACAAUGGAUAAUGUCCUAAACUACUUACUCUCCCGCUCAAUCACGGAGACGAGUUUUCCACGGUUUCCACCCCUCCCUUCAUACCGCAGCAGCACGAGUUUUUUCCACCCCUUUCAGAACGCGCUCUUCGCGCCACAAAGCCGCCCCAAGACGCGCGAGCAAUGAGCAUAGAGCUUAAACAUAUCGCAAACGUCAAAAAUAAUAUAACGGGAUUAAUAUAUAUCGCGCACGUGUGAUAUGUUUGUCACAAGGCGCAAAAAAUAAUUAAAAAGGGAAUGCAACAGGAGGACUUCCCAGGAGGUCACCCAUCCUAGUACUACUCUUGCCCAAGCACGCUUAACUUCAAAGUUCUGAUGGGAUCCGGUGCUUUAGUGCUGGUAUGAUCGCAUCCGACAUGUUUCCCCGUCUUCGUCCCUUGUGCUUGCCACUCCCAGGUCCGCUCCAAAGACGAUUCUACAUUCUCACUACCAUUACAACCGUUCCCUAACAAUGGAUAAUGUCCUAUACUACUUACUCUCCCGCUCAAUCACGGAGACGAGUUUUCCACGGUUUCCACCCCUCCCUCCAUACCACAGCAACACGAGUUUUUUUCCACCCCUUUCAGAAUGCGCUCUUCGCACCACAAAGCCGCCCCAAGACGCGCGAGCAAUGAGCAUUGAGCUUAAACAUAUCGCAAACGUAGAAAAUAAUAUAACGGGAUUAAUAUAUAUCGUGCACGUGCGAUAUGUUUGUCACAAGGCGCAAAAAAUAAUUAAAAAGGGAAUGCAACACGAGGAAUUCCCAGGAGGUCACCCAUCCUAGUACUACUCUCGCCCAAGCACGCUUAACUUCGGAGUUCUGAUGGGAUCCGGUGCUUUAGUGCUGGUAUGAUCGCAUCCGACAUGUUUCCCCGUCUUCGUCCCUUAUGCUUGCCACUCCCAGGUCCGCUCCAAAGACGAUUCUACAUUGUCACUACCAUUACAACCGUUCCCUAAUAAUGGAUAAUGUCCUAUACUACUUACUCUCCCGCUCAAUCACGGAGACGAGUUUUCCACAGUUUCCACCCCUCCUUCCAUAGCGCCACAAAGCCGCCCCAAGACGCGCGACCAAUGAGCAUCGAGCUUAAACAUAUCGCAAACGUCAAAAAUAAUAUAACGGGAUUAAUAUAUAUCGCGCACGUGCGAUAUGUUUGUCACAAGGCGCAAAAAAUAAUUAAAAAGGGAAUGCAACACGAGGACUUCCCAGGAGGUCACCCAUCCUAGUACUACUCUCGCCCAAGCACGAUUAACCCAAGCACGCUUAACUUCGGAGUUCUGAUGGAAUCCGGUGCUUUAGUGAUGGUAUGAUCGCAUCCAACAUGUUUCCCCGUCUUCGUCCCUUAUGCUUGCCAUUCCCAGGUCCGCUCCAAAGACGAUUUUACAUUCUCACCGCCAUUACAACCGUUCCCUAACAAUGGAUAAUGUCCUAUACUACUUACUCUCCCGCUCAAUCACGGAGACGAGUUUUCCACGGUUUCCACCCCUCCCUCCAUACCGCAGCAGCACGAGUUUUUUCCACCCCUUCCAGAACGCGCUCUUCGCGCCACAAAGUCGCCCCAAGACGCGCGAGCAAUGAGCAUCGAGCUUAAACAUAUCGCAAACGUCAAAAAUAAUAUAACAGGAUUAAUAUAUAUCGCGCACGUGCGAUAUGUUUGUCACAAGGCGCAAAAAAUAAUUAAAAAGGGAAUGCAACACGAGGACUUCCCAGGAAGUCACCCAUCCUAGUACUACUCUCGCCCAAGCACACUUAACUUUAGAGUUCUGAUGGGAUCCGGUGCUUUAGUGCUGGUAUGAUCGCAUCCAACAUGUUUCCAUGUCUUCGUCCCUUAUGCUUGCCACUCCCAGGUCCGAUCCAAAGACGAUUCUACAUUCUCACUACCAUUACAACCGUUCCCUAACAAUGGAUAAUGUCCUAUACUACUUACUCUCCCGCUCAAUCACGGAGACGAGUUUUCCACGGUUUCCACCCCUCCCUCCAUACCGCAGCAGCACGAGUUUUUUCCACCCCUUUCAGAAUGCGCUCUUUGCGCCACAAAGCCGCCCCAAGACGCGCGAGCAAUGAGCAUCGAGCUUAAACAUAUCGCAAACGUCAAACAUAAUAUAACGGGAUUAAUAUAUAUCGCGCACGUGCGAUAUGUUUGUCACAAGGCACAAAAAAUAAUUAAAAAGGGAAUGCAACACGAGGACUUCCCAGGAGGUCACCCAUCCUAGUACUACUCUCGCCCAAGCACGCUUAACUUCGAAGUUCUGAUGGGAUCCGGUGCUUUAGUGCUAGUAUGAUCGCAUCCAACAUGUUUCCCCGUCUUCGUCCCUUAUGCUUGCCACUCCCAGGUCCGCUCCAAAGACGAUUCUACAUUCUCACUACCAUUACAACCGUUCCCUAACAAUGGAUAAUGUCCUAUACUACUUACUCUCCCACUCAAUCACGGAGACGAGUUUUCCACGGUUUCCAUCCCUCCCUCCAUACCGCAGCAGCACGAGUUUUUUCCACCCCUUUCAGAACGCGCUCUUCGCGCCACAAAACCGCCCCAAGACGCGCGAGCAAUGAGCAUCGAGCUUAAACAUAUCGCAAACGUCAAAAAUAAUAUAACGGGGUUAAUAUAUAUCGCGCACAUGUGAUAUGUUUGCCACAAGGCGCAAAAAAUAAUUAAAAAGGGAAUGCAACACGAGGACUUCCCAGGAGGUCACCCAUCCUAGUACUACUCUCGCCCAAGCACGCUUAACUUCGGAGUUCUGAUAGGAUCUGGUGCUUUAGUGCUGGUAUGAUAGCAUCCGACAUGUUUCCCCAUCUUCGUCCCUUAUGCUUGCCACUCCCAGGUCCGCUCCAAAGACGAUUCUACAUUCUCACUACCAUUACAACCGUUUCCUAAUAAUGGAUAAUGUCCUAUACUACUUACUCUCCCGCUCAAUCACGGAGACGAGUUUUCCACGAUUUCCACCCCUCCCUCCAUACCGCAGCAGCAUGAGUUUUUUCCACCCCUUUCAGAACGCGCUCUUCGCGCCACAAAGCCGCCCCAAGACGCGCGAGCAAUGAGCAUCGAGCUUAAACAUAUCGCAAACGUCAAAAAUAAUAUAACGGGAUUAAUAUAUAUCGCGCACGUGCGAUAUGUUUGUCACAAGGCGCAAAAAAUAAAUAAAAAGGGAAUGCAAUCGAGGACUUCCCAGGAGGUCAUCCAUCCUAGUACUACUCUCGCCCAAGCACGCUUAACUUCGGAGUUCUGAUGGGAUCCGGUGCUUUAGUGCUGGUAUGAUCGCAUCAACAUGUUCCCCCGUCUUCGUCCCUUAUGCUUGCCACUCCCAGGUCCGCUCCAAAGACGAUUCUACAUUCUCACUACCAUUACAACCGUUCCCUAACAAUGGAUAAUGUCCUAUACUACUUACUCUCUCGCUCAAUCACGGAGACGAGUUUUCCACGGUUUCCACCCCUCCCUCCAUACCGCAGCAGCACGAGUUUUUUCCACCCCUUUCAGAACGCGCUCUUCGCGCCACAAAGCCGCCCCAAGACGCGCGAGCAAUGAGCAUCGAGCUUAAACAUAUCGCAAAUGUCAAAAAUAAUAUAACGGGAUUAAUAUAUAUCGCGCACGUGCGAUAUGUUUGUCACAAGGCGCAAAAAAUAAUUAAAAAGGGAAUGCAACACGAGGACUUCCCAGGAGGUCACCCAUCCUAGUACUACACUCGCCCAAGCAUGCUUAACUUCGAAGUUCUGAUGGGAUCCGGUGCUUUAGUGCUGGUAUGAUCGCAUCCGACAUGUUUCCCCGUCUUCGUCCCUUAUGCUUGCCACUCCCAGGUCCGCUCCAAAGACGAUUCUACAUUCUCACUACCAUUACAACCGUUCCCUAACAAUGGAUAAUGUCCUAUAAUACUUACUCUCCCGCUCAAUCACAGAGACGAGUUUUCCACGGUUUCCACCCCUCCCUCCAUACCGCAGCAGCACGAGUUUUUUCCACCCCUUUCAGAACGCGCUCUUCGCGCCACAAAGCCGCCCCAAGACGCGCGAGCAAUGAGCAUCGAGCUUAAACAUAUCGCAAACGUCAAAAAUAAUAUAACGGGAUUAAUAUAUAUCGCGCACAUGCGAUAUGUUUGUCACAAGGCGCAAAAAAUAAUUAAAAAGGGAAUGCAACAUGAGGACUUCCCAGGAGGUCACCCAUCCUAGUACUACUCUCGCCCAAGCACGCUUAACUUCGAAGUUCUAAUGGGAUCCGGUGCUUUAGUGCUGGUAUGAUCGCAUCCGACAUGUUUCCCCGUCUUCGUCCCUUAUGCUUGCCACUCCCAGGUCCGCUCCAAAGACGAUUCUACAUUCUCACUACCAUUACAACCGUUCCCUAACAAUGGAUAAUGUCCUAUGCUACUUACUCUCCCGCUCAAUCACGGAGACGAGUUUUCCACGAUUUCGACCCCUCCCUCCAUACCGCAGCAACACGAGUUUUUUCCACCCCUUUCAGAACGCGCUCUUCGCGCCACAAAGCCACCCCAAGACGCGCGAGCAAUGAGCAUCGAGCUUAAACAUAUCGCAAACGUCAAAAAUAAUAUAACGGGAUUAAUAUAUAUCGCGCACGUGCGAUAUGUUUGUCACAAGGCGCAAAAAAUAAUUAAAAAGGGAAUGCAACACGAGGACUUCCCAGGAGGUCACCCAUCCUAGUACUACUCUCGCCCAAGCACGCUUAACUUCGGAGUUCUGAUGGGAUCCGGUGCUUUAGUGCUGGUAUGAUCGCAUCAACAUGUUCCCCCGUCUUCGUCCCUUAUGGUUGCCACUCCCAGGUCCGCUCCAAAGACGAUUCUACAUUCUACUACCAUUACAACCGUUCCCUAACAAUGGAUAAUGUCCUAUACUACUUACUCUCCCGCUCAAUCACGGAGACGAGUUUUCCACGGUUCCCACCCCUCCCUCCAUACCGCAGCAACACGAGUUUUUUCCACCCCUUUCAGAACGCGCUCUUCGCACCACAAAGCCGCCCCAAGACGCGCGAGCAAUGAGCAUCGAGCUUAAACAUAUCGCAAACGUCAAAAAUAAUAUAACGGGGUUAAUAUAUAUCGCGCACAUGCGAUAUGUUUGUCAAAAGGCGCAAAAAAUAAUUAAAAAGGGAAUGCAACAUGAGGACUUCCCAGGAGGUCACCCAUCCUAGUACUACUCUUGCCCAAGCACGCUUAACUUCAGAGUUCUGAUGGGAUUCGGUGCUUUAGUGCUGGUAUGAUCGCAUCCGACAUGUUUCCCCGUCUUCGUCCCUUAUGCUUGCCACUCCCAGGUCCGCUCCAAAGACGAUUCUACAUUCUCACUACCAUUACAACCGUUUCCUAAUAAUGGAUAAUGUCCUAUACUACUUACUCUCCCGCUCAAUCACGGAGACGAGUUUUCCACAAUUUCCACCCCUCCCUCCAUACCGCAGCAGCACGAGUUUUUUCCACCCCUUUCAGAACGCGCUCUUCGCGCCACAAAGCCGCCCCAAGACGCGCGAGCAAUGAGCAUCGAGCUUAAACAUAUCGCAAACGUCAAAAAUAAUAUAACGGGAUUAAUAUAUAUCGCGCACGUGCGAUAUGUUUGUCACAAGGCGCAAAAAAUAAUUAAAAAGGGAAUGCAACUCGAGGACUUCCCAGGAGGUCACCCAUCCUAGUACUACUCUCGCCCAAGCACGCUUAACUUCGGAGUUCUGAUGGGAUCCGGUGCUUUAGUGCUGGUAUGAUCGCAUCAACAUGUUUCCCCGUCUUCGUUCCUUAUGCUUGCCACUCCCAGGUCCGCUCCAAAGACGAUUCUACAUUCUCACUACCAUUACAACCGUUCCCUAACAAUGGAUAAUGUCCUAUACUACUUACUCUCCCGCUCAAUCAUGGAGACGAGUUUUCCACGGUUUCCACCCCUCCCUCCAUACCGCAGCAGCACGAGUUUUUUCCACCCCUUUCAGAACGCGCUCUUCGCACCACAAAGCCGCCCCAAGAUGCGUGAGCAAUGAGCAUCGAGCUUAAACAUAUCGCAAACGUCAAAAAUAAUAUAACAGGAUUAAUAUAUAUCGCGCACGUGCGAUAUGUUUGUCACAAGGCGCAAAAAAUAAUUAAAAAGGGAAUGCAACACGAGGACUUCCCAGGAGGUCACCCAUCCUAAUACUACACUCGCCCAAGCACGCUUAACUUCAAAAUUCUGAUGGGAUCCGGUGCUUUAGUGCUGGUAUGAUCGCAUCCGACAUGUUUCCCCGUCUUCGUCCCUUAUGCUUGCCAUUCCCAGGUCCGCUCCAAAGACGAUUCUACAUUCUCACUACCAUUACAACCGUUCCCUAACAAUGGAUAAUGUCCUAUACUACUUACUCUCCCGCUCAAUCACGGAGACGAGUUUUCCACGGUUUCCACCCCUCCCUCCAUACCGCAGCAGCACGAGUUUUUUCCACCCCUUUCAGAACGCGCUCUUCGCACCACAAAGCCGCCCCAAGAUGCGCGAGCAAUGAGCAUCGAGCUUAAACAUAUCGCAAACGUCAAAAAUAAUAUAACAGGAUUAAUAUAUAUCGCGCACGUGCGAUAUGUUUGUCACAAGGCGCAAAAAAUAAUUGAAAAGGGAAUGCAACACGAGGACUUCCCAGGAGGUCACCCAUCCUAGUACUACUCUCGCCCAAGCAUGCUUAACUUCGUAGUUCUGAUGGGAUCCAGUGCUUUAGUGCUAGUAUGAUUGCAUCCGACAUGUUUCCCCGUCUUCGUCCCUUAUGCUUGCCACUCCCAGGUCCGCUCCAAAGACAAUUCUACAUUCUCACUACCAUUACAACCGUUCCCUAACAAUUGAUAAUGUCCUAUACUACUUACUCUCCCGCUCAAUCACGGAGACGAGUUUUCCACGGUUUCCACCCCUCCCUCCAUACCGCAGCAGCACGAGUUUUUUCCACCCCUUUCAGAACGCGCUCUUCGCGCCACAAAGCCGCCCCAAGACGCGCGAGCAAUGAGUAUCGAGCUUAAACAUAUCGCAAACGUCAAAAAUAAUAUAACGGGAUUAAUAUAUAUCGCGCACGUGCGAUAUGUUUGUCACAAGGCGCAAAAAAUAAUUAAAAAGGGAAUGCAACACGAAGACUUCCCAGGAGGUCACCCAUCCUAGUACUACUCUCGCCCAAGCACGCUUAACUUCAGAGUUCUGAUGGGAUCCGGUGCUUUAGUGCUGCUAUGAUCGCAUCCAACAUGUUUCCCUGUCUUCGUCCCUUAUGCUUGCCACUCCCAGGUCCGCUCCAAAGACGAUUCUACAUUCUCACUACCAUUACAACCGUUCCCUAACAAUGGAUAAUGUCCUAUACUACUUACUCUCCCGCUCAAUCACGGAGACGAGUUUUCCACGGUUUCCACCCCUCCCUCCAUACCGCAGCAGCACAAGUUUUUCCCACCUCUUUCAGAAUGCGCUCUUCGCGCCACAAAGCCGCCGCAAGACGCGCGAGCAAUGAGCAUCGAGCUUAAACAUAUCGCAAACGUCAAACAUAAUAUAAUGGGAUUAAUAUAUAUCGCGCACGUGCGAUAUGUUUGUCACAAGGCACAAAAAAUAAUUAAAAAGGGAAUGCAACACGAGGACUUCCCAGGAGGUCACCCAUCCUAGUACUACUCUUGCCCAAGCACGCUUAACUUCGAAGUUCUUCGAAGUUCUGAUGGGAUCCGAUGCUUUAGUGCUAGUAUGAUCGCAUCCAACAUGUUUCCCCGUCUUCGUCCCUUAUGCUUGCCACUCCCAGGUCUGCUCCAAAGACGAUUCUACAUUCUCACUACCAUUACAACCGUUCCCUAACAAUGGAUAAUGUCCUAUACUACUUACUCUCCCGCUCAAUCACGGAGACGAGUUUUCCACGGUUUCCACCCCUCCCUCCAUACCGCAGCAGCACGAGUUUUUUCCACCCCUUUCAGAACGCGCUCUUCGCGCCACAAAGCCGCCCCAAGACGCGCGAGCAAUGAGCAUCGAGCUUAAACAUAUCGCAAACGUCAAAAAUAAUAUAACGGGGUUAAUAUAUAUCGCGCACAUGUGAUAUGUUUGUCACAAGGCGCAAAAAAUAAUUAAAAAGGGAAUGCAACACGAGGACUUCCCAGGAGGUCACCCAUCCUAGUACUACUCUCGCCCAAGCACGCUUAACUUCGGAGUUCUGAUGGGAUCCGGUGCUUUAGUGCUGGUAUGAUCGCAUCCGACAUGUUUCCCCGUCUUCGUCCCUUAUGCUUGCCACUCCCAGGUCCGCUCCAAAGACGAUUCUACAUUCUCACUACCGUUACAACCGUUUCCUAAUAAUGGAUAAUGUCCUAUACUACUUACUCUCCCGCUCAAUCACGGAGAUGAGUUUUCCACGAUUUCCACCCCUCCCUCUAUACCGCAGCAGCACGAGUUUUUUCCACCCCUUUCAGAACGCGCUCUUCGCGCCACAAAGCCGCCCCAAGACGCGCGAGCAAUGAGCAUCGAGCUUAAACAUAUCGCAAACGUCAAAAAUAAUAUAACGGGAUUAAUAUAUAUCGCGCACCUACGAUAUGUUUGUCACAAGGCGCAAAAAAUAAUUAAAAGGGGAAUGCAACACGAGGAUCUGAUGGGAUCCGGUGCUUUAGUGCUGGUAUGAUCGCAUCCGACAUGUUUCCCCGUCUUCGUCCCUUAUGCUUGCCACUCCCAGGUCCACUCCAAAGAUGAUUCUACAUUCUCACUACCAUUACAACCGUUCCCUAAGAAUGGAUAAUGUCCUAUACUACUUACUCUCCCGCUCAAUCACGGAGAGGAGUUUUCCACGGUUUCCACCCCUCCCUCCAUACCGCAGCAGCACGAGUUUUUUCCACCCCUUUCAGAACGCGCUCUUCGCGCCACAAAGCCGCCCCAAGACGCGCGAGCAAUGAGCAUCGAGCUUAAACAUAUCGCAAACGUCAAAAAUAAUAUAACGGGGUUAAUAUAUAUCGCGCACGUGCGAUAUGUUUGUCACAAGGCACAAAAAAUAAUUAAAAAGGGAAUGCAACACGAGGACUUCCCAGGAGGUCACCCAUCCUAGUACUACUCUCGCCCAAGCACGCUUAACUUCAGAGUUCUGAUGGGAUCCGGUGCUUUAGUGCUGGUAUGAUCGCAUCCAACAUGUUUCCCUGUCUUCGUCCCUUAUGCUUGCCACUCCCAGGUCCGCUCCAAAGACGAUUCUACAUUCUCACUACCAUUACAACCGUUCCCUAACAAUGGAUAAUGUCCUAUACUACUUACUCUCCCGCUCAAUCACGGAGACGAGUUUUCCACGGUUUCCACCCCUCCCUCCAUACCGCAGCAGCACAAGUUUUUUCCACCCCUUUCAGAAGGCGCUCUUCGCGCCACAAAGCCGCCCCAAGACGCGCGAGCAAUGAGCAUCGAGCUUAAACAUAUCGCAAACGUCAAACAUAAUAUAACGGGAUUAAUAUAUAUCGCGCACGUGCGAUAUGUUUGUCACAAGGCACAAAAAAUAAUUAAAAAGGGAAUGCAACACGAGGACUUCCCAGGAGGUCACCCAUCCUAGUACUACUCUCGCCCAAGCACGCUUAACUUCGAAGUUCUGAUGGGAUCCGGUGCUUUAGUGCUAGUAUGAUCGCAUCCAACAUGUCUCCCCGUCUUCGUCCCUUAUGCUUGCCACUCCCAGGUCCGCUCCAAAGACGAUUCUACAUUCUCACUACCAUUACAACCGUUCCCUAACAAUGGAUAAUGUCCUAUACUACUUACUCUCCCGCUCAAUCACGGAGACGAGUUUUCCACGGUUUCCAUCCCUCCCUCCAUACCGCAGCAGCACGAGUUUUUUCCACCCCUUUCAGAACGCGCUCUUCGCGCCACAAAACCGCCCCAAGACGCGCGAGCAAUGAGCAUCGAGCUUAAACAUAUCGCAAACGUCAAAAAUAAUAUAACGGGGUUAAUAUAUAUCGCGCACAUGUGAUAUGUUUGUCACAAGGCGCAAAAAAUAAUUAAAAAGGGAAUGCAACACGAGGACUUCCCAGGAGGUCACCCAUCCUAGUACUACUCUCGCCCAAGCACACUUAACUUCGGAGUUCUGAUAGGAUCCGGUGCUUUAGUGCUGGUAUGAUAGCAUCCGACAUGUUUCCCCAUCUUCGUCCCAUAUGCUUGCCACUCCUAGGUCCGCUCCAAAGACGAUUCUACAUUCUCACUACCAUUACAACCGUUUCCUAAUAAUGGAUAAUUUCCUAUACUACUUACUCUCCCGCUCAAUCACGGAGACGAGUUUUCCACGAUUUCCACCCCUCCCUCCAUACCGCAGCAGCAUGAGUUUUUUCCACCCCUUUCAGAACGCGCUCUUCGCGCCACAAAGCCGCCCCAAGACGCACGAGCAAUGAGCAUCGAGCUUAAACAUAUCGCAAACGUCAAAAAUAAUAUAACAGGAUUAAUAUAUAUCGCGCACGUGCGAUAUGUUUGUCACAAGGCGCAAAAAAUAAAUAAAAAGGGAAUGCAACUCGAGGACUUCCCAGGAGGUCACCCAUCCUAGUACUACUCUCGCCCAAGCACGCUUAACUUCGGAGUUCUCAUGGGAUCCGGUGCUUUAGUGCUGGUAUGAUCGCAUCAACAUGUUUCCCCGUCUUCGUCCCUUAUGCUUGCCACUCCCAGGUCCGCUCCAAAGACGAUUCUACAUUCUCACUACCAUUACAACCGUUCCCUAACAAUGGAUAAUGUCCUAUACUACUUACUCUCCCGCUCAAUCACGGAGACGAGUUUUCCACGGUUUCCACCCCUCCCUCCAUACCGCAGCAGCACGAGUUUUUUCCACCCCUUUCAGAACGCGCUCUUCGCGCCACAAAGCCGCCCCAAGACGCGCGAGCAAUGAGCAUCGAGCUUAAACAUAUCGCAAACGUCAAAAAUAAUAUAACGGGAUUAAUAUAUAUCGCGCACGUGCGAUAUGUUUGUCACAAGGCGCAAAAAAUAAUUAAAAAGGGAAUGCAACACGAGGACUUCCCAGGAGGUCACCCAUCCUAGUACUACACUCGCCCAAGCAUGCUUAACUUCGAAGUUCUGAUGGGAUCCGGUGCUUUAGUGCUGGUAUGAUCGCAUCCGACAUGUUUCCCCGUCUUCGUCCCUUAUGCUUGCCACUCCCAGGUCCGCUCCAAAGACGAUUCUACAUUCUCACUACCAUUACAACCGUUCCCUAACAAUGGAUAAUGUCCUAUAAUACUUACUCUCCCGCUCAAUCACAGAGACGGGUUUUCCACGGUUUCCACCCCUCCCUCCAUACCGCAGCAGCACGAGUUUUUUCCACCCCUUUCAGAACGCGCUCUUCGUGCCACAAAGCCGCCCCAAGACGCGCGAGCAAUGAGCAUCGAGCUUAAACAUAUCGCAAACGUCAAAAAUAAUAUAACGGGAUUAAUAUAUAUCGCGCACAUGCGAUAUGUUUGUCACAAGGCGCAAAAAAUAAUUAAAAAGGGAAUGCAACACGAGGACUUCCCAGGAGGUCACCCAUCCUAGUACUACUCUCGCCCAAGCACGCUUAACUUCGGAGUUCUGAUGGGAUCCGGUGCUUUAGUGCUGGUAUGAUCGCAUCAACAUGUUUCCCUGUCUUCGUCCCUUAUGCUUGCCACUCCCAGGUCCGCUCCAAAGACGAUUCUACAUUCUACUACCAUUACAACCGUUCCCUAACAAUGGAUAAUGUCCUAUACUACUUACUCUCCCGCUCAAUCACGGAGACGAGUUUUCCACGGUUUCCACCCCUCCCUCCAUACCGCAGCAACACGAGUUUUUUCCACCCCUUUCAGAACGCGCUCUUCGCACCACAAAGCCGCCCCAAGACGCGCGAGCAAUGAGCAUCGAGCUUAAACAUAUCGCAAACGUCAAAAANNNNNNNNNNNNNNNNNNNNNNNNNNNNNNNNNNNNNNNNNNNNNNNNNNNNNNNNNNNNNNNNNNNNNNNNNNNNNNNNNNNNNNNNNNNNNNNNNNNNNNNNNNNNNNNNNNNNNNNNNNNNNNNNNNNNNNNNNNNNNNNNNNNNNNNNNNNNNNNNNNNNNNNNNNNNNNNNNNNNNNNNNNNNNNNNNNNNNNNNNNNNNNNNNNNNNNNNNNNNNNNNNNNNNNNNNNNNNNNNNNNNNNNNNNNNNNNNNUUUGUCAAAAGGCGCAAAAAAUAAUUAAAAAGGGAAUGCAACACGAGGACUUACUCUCCCGCUCAAUCACAGAGACGGGUUUUCCACUGUUUCCACCCCUCCCUCCAUACCGCAGCAGCACGAGUUUUUUCCACCCCUUUCAGAACGCGCUCUUCGCGCCACAAAGCCGCCCCAAGACGCGCGAGCAAUGAGCAUCGAGCUUAAACAUAUCGCAAACGUCAAAAAUAAUAUAACGGGAUUAAUAUAUAUCGCGCACAUGCGAUAUGUUUGUCACAAGGCGCAAAAAAUAAUUAAAAAGGGAAUGCAACACGAGGACUUCCCAGGAGGUCACCCAUCCUAGUACUACUCUCGCCCAAGCACGCUUAACUUCGAAGUUCUAAUGGGAUCCGGUGCUUUAGUGCUGGUAUGAUCGCAUCCGACAUGUUUCCCCAUCUUCGUCCCUUAUGCUUGCCACUCCCAGGUCCGCUCCAAAGACGAUUCUACAUUCUCACUACCAUUACAACCGUUCCCUAACAAUGGAUAAUGUCCUAUGCUACUUACUCUCCCGCUCAAUCACGGAGACGAGUUUUCCACGAUUUCCACCCCUCCCUCCAUACCGCAGCAGCACGAGUUUUUUCCACCCCUUUCAGAACGCGCUCUUCGCGCCACAAAGCCACCCCAAGACGCGCGAGCAAUGAGCAUCGAGCUUAAACAUAUCGCAAACAUCAAAAAUAAUAUAACGGGAUUAAUAUAUAUCGCGCACGUGCGAUAUGUUUGUCACAAGGCGCAAAAAAUAAUUAAAAAGGGAAUGCAACACGAGGACUUCCCAGGAGGUCACCCAUCCUAGUACUACUCUCGCCCAAGCACGCUUAACUUCGGAGUUCUGAUGGGAUCCGGUGCUUUAGUGCUGGUAUGAUCGCAUCAACAUGUUUCCCCGUCUUCGUCCCUUAUGCUUGCCACUCCCAGGUCCGCUCCAAAGACGAUUCUACAUUCUACUACCAUUACAACCGUUCCCUAACAAUGGAUAAUGUCCUAUACUACUUACUCUCCCGCUCAAUCACGGAGACGAGUUUUCCACGGUUUCCACCCCUCCCUCCAUACCGCAGCAACACGAGUUUUUUCCACCCCUUUCAGAACGCGCUCUUCGCACCACAAAGCCGCCCCAAGACGCGCGAGCAAUGAGCAUCGAGCUUAAACAUAUCGCAAACGUCAAAAAUAAUAUAACGGGGUUAAUAUAUAUCGCGCACAUGCGAUAUGUUUGUCAAAAGGCGCAAAAAAUAAUUAAAAAGGGAAUGCAACACGAGGACUUCCCAGGAGGUCACCCAUCCUAGUACUACUCUCGCCCAAGCACGCUUAACUUCAGAGUUCCGAUGGGAUUCAGUGCUUUAGUGCUGGUAUGAUCGCAUCCGACAUGUUUCCCCGUCUUCGUCCCUUAUGCUUGCCACUCCCAGGUCCGCUCCAAAGACGAUUCUACAUUCUCACUACCAUUACAACCGUUUCCUAAUAAUGGAUAAUGUCCUAUACUACUUACUCUCCCGCUCAAUCACGGAGACGAGUUUUCCACGAUUUCCACCCCUCCCUCCAUACCGCAGCAGCACGAGUUUUUUCCACCCCUUUCAGAACGCGCUCUUCGCGCCCCAAAGCCGCCCCAAGACGCGCGAGCAAUGAGCAUCGAGCUUAAACAUAUCGCAAACGUCAAAAAUAAUAUAACGGGAUUAAUAUAUAUCGCGCACGUGCGAUAUGUUUGUCACAAGGCGCAAAAAAUAAUUAAAAAGGGAAUGCAACUCGAGGACUUCCCAGGAGGUCACCCAUCCUAGUACUACUCUCGCCCAAGCACGCUUAACUUCGGAGUUCUGAUGGGAUCCGGUGCUUUAGUGCUGGUAUGAUCGCAUCAACAUGUUUCCCCGUCUUCGUCCCUUAUGCUUGCCACUCCCAGGUCUGCUCCAAAGACGAUUCUACAUUCUCACUACCAUUACAACCGUUCCCUAACAAUGGAUAAUGUCCUAUACUACUUACUCUCCCGCUCAAUCACGGAGACGAGUUUUCCACGGUUUCCACCCCUCCCUCCAUACCGCAGCAGCACGAGUUUUUUCCACCCCUUUCAGAACGCGCUCUUCGCACCACAAAGCAGCCCCAAGAUGCGCGAACAAUGAGCAUCGAGCUUAAACAUAUCGCAAACGUCAAAAAUAAUAUAACAGGAUUAAUAUAUAUCGCGCACGUGCGAUAUGUUUGUCACAAGGCGCAAAAAAUAAUUAAAAAGGGAAUGCAACACGAGGAAUUCCCAGGAGGUCACCCAUCCUAGUACUACACUCGCCCAAGCACGCUUAACUUCGAAAUUCUGAUGGGAUCCGGUGCUUUAGUGCUGGUAUGAUCGCAUCCGACAUGUUUCCCCGUCUUCGUCCCUUAUGCUUGCCACUCCCAGGUCCGCUCCAAAGACGAUUCUACAUUCUCACUACCAUUACAACCGUUCCCUAACAAUGGAUAAUGUCCUAUACUACUUACUCUCCCGCUCAAUCACGGAGACGAGUUUUCCACGGUUUCCACCCCUCCCUCCAUACCGCAGCAGCACGAGUUUUUUCCACCCCUUUCAGAACGCGCUCUUCGCACCACAAAGCCGCCCCAAGAUGCGCGAGCAAUGAGCAUCGAGCUUAAACAUAUCGCAAACGUCAAAAAUAAUAUAACAGGAUUAAUAUAUAUCGCGCACGUGCGAUAUGUUUGUCACAAGGCGCAAAAAAUAAUUAAAAAGGGAAUGCAACACGAGGACUUCCCAGGAGGUCACCCAUCCUAGUACUACUCUCGCCCAAGCAUGCUUAACUUCGUAGUUCUGAUGGGUUCCAGUGCUUUAGUGCUAGUAUGAUUGCAUCCGACAUGUUUCCCCAUCUUCGUCCCUUAUGCUUGCCACUCCCAGGUCCGCUCCAAAGACAAUUCUACAUUCUCACUACCAUUACAACCGUUCCCUAACAAUGGAUAAUGUCCUAUACUACUAACUCUCCCGCUCAAUCACGGAGACGAGUUUUCCACGGUUUCCACCCCUCCCUCCAUACCGCAGCAGCACGAGUUUUUUCCACCCCUUUCAGAACGCGCUCUUCGCGCCACAAAGCCGCCCCAAGACGCGCGAGCAAUGAGCAUCGAGCUUAAACAUAUCGCAAACGUCAAAAAUAAUAUAACGGGAUUAAUAUAUAUCGCGCACGUGCGAUAUGUUUGUCACAAGGCGCAAAAAAUAAUUAAAAAGGGAAUGCAACACGAGGACUUCCCAGGAGGUCACCCAUCCUAGUACUACUCUCGCCCAAGCACGCUUAACUUCGAAGUUCUAAUGGGAUCCGGUGCUUUAGUGCUGGUAUGAUCGCAUCCGACAUGUUUCCCCGUCUUCGUCCCUUAUGCUUGCCACUCCCAGGUCCGCUCCAAAGACGAUUCUACAUUCUCACUACCAUUACAACCGUUCCCUAACAAUGGAUAAUGUCCUAUACUACUUACUCUCCCGCUCAAUCACGGAGACGAGUUUUCCACGGUUUCCACCCCUCCCUCCAUACCGGAGCAACACGAGUUUUUUCCACCCCUUUCAGAACGUGCUCUUCGCGCCACAAAGCCGCCCCAAGACGCGCGAGCAAUGAGCAUCGAGCUUAAACAUAUCGCAAACGUCAAAAAUAAUAUAACGGGAUUAAUAUAUAUCGCGCACGUGCGAUAUGUUUGUCACAAGGCACAAAAAAUAAUUAAAAAGGGAAUGCAACACGAGGACUUCCCAGGAGGUCACCCAUCCUAGUACUACUCUCGCCCAAGCACGCUUAACUUCGGAGUUAUGAUGGGAUCCGGUGCUUUAGUGCUGGUAUGAUUGCAUCCAACAUGUUUCCCCGUCUUCGUCCCUUAUGCUUGCCACUCCCAGGUCCGCUCCAAAGACGAUUCUACAUUCUCACUACCAUUACAACUGUUCCCUAACAAUGGAUAAUGUCCUAUACUACUUACUCUCCCGCUCAAUCACGGAGACGAGUUUUCCACGGUUUCCACCCCUCCCUCCAUACCGCAGCAACACGAGUUUUUCCACCCCUUUCAGAACGCGCUCUUCGCGCCAUAAAGCCGCCACAAGACGCACGAGCAAUGAGCAUCGAGCUUAAACAUAACGCAAACGUCAAAAAUAAUAUAACGGGAUUAAUAUAUAUCGCGCAGGCGCGAUAUGUUUGUCACAAGGCGCAAAAAAUAAUUAAAAAGGGAAUGCAACAAGAGGACUUCCAAGGAGGUCACCCAUCCUAGUACUACUCUCGCCCAAGCACGCUUAACAUCGGAGUUCUGAUGGGAUCCGGUGCUUUAGUGCUGGUAUGAUCGCAUCCGACGUGUUUCCCCGUCUUCGUCCCUUAUGCUUGCCUCUCCCAGGUCCGCUCCAAAGACGAUUCUACAUUCUCACUACCAUUACAACCGUUCCCUAACAAUGGAUAAUGUCGUAUACUACUUACUCUCCCGCUCAAUCACGGAGACGAGUUUUCCACGGUUUCCACCCCUCCCUCCAUACCGCAGCAACACGAGUUUUUCCACCCCUUUCAGAACGCGCUCUUCGCGCCACAAAGCCGCCACAAGACGCACGAGCAAUGAGCAUCGAGCUUAAACAUAACGCAAACGUCAAAAAUAAUAUAACGGGAUUAAUAUAUAUCGCGCACGCGCGAUAUGUUUGUCACAAGGCGCAAAAAAUAAUUAAAAAGGGAAUGCAACAAGAGGACUUCCAAGGAGGUCACCCAUCCUAGUACUACUCUCGCCCAAGCACGCUUAACAUCGGAGUUUUGAUGGGAUCCGGUGCUUUAGUGCUGGUAUGAUCGCAUCCGACGUGUUUCCCCGUCUUCGUCCCUUAUGCUUGCCACUCCCAGGUCCGCUCCAAAGACGAUUCUACAUUCUCACUACCAUUACAACCGUUCCCUAACAAUGGAUAAUGUCCUAUACUACUUACUCUCCCGCUCAAUCACGGAGACGAGUUUUCCACGGUUUCCACCCCUCCCUCCAUACCGCAGCAACACGAGUUUUUUCCACCCCUUUCAGAACGCGCUCUUCGUGCCACAAAGCCGCCCCAAGACGCGCGAGCAAUGAGCAUCGAGCUUAAACAUAUCGCAAACGUCAAAAAUAAUAUAACGGGAUUAAUAUAUAUCGCGCACGUGCGAUAUGUUUGUCACAAGGCGCAAAAGAUAAUUAAAAAGGGAAUGCAACACGAGGACUUCCCAGGAGGUCACCCAUCCUAGUACUACUCUCGCCCAAGCACGCUUAACUUUGGAGUUCUGAUGGGAUCCGGUGCUUUAGAGCUGGCAUGAUCGCAUCCGACGUGUUUCCCGCUCCAAAACGAUUCUACAUUCUCACUACCAUUACAACCGUUCCCUAACAAUGGAUAAUGUCCUAUACUACUUACUCUCCCGCUCAAUCACGGAGACGAGUUUUCCACGGUUUCCACCCCUCCCUCCAUACCGCAGCAACAUGAGUUUUUUCCGCCCCUUUAAGAACGCGCUCUUCGCGCCACAAAGCCGCCCCAAGACGCGCGAGCAAUGAGCAUCGAGCUUAAACAUAUCGCAAACGUCAAAAAUAAUAUAACGGGAUUAAUAUAUAUUGCGCACGUGCGAUAUGUUUGUCACACGGCGCAAAAAAUAAUUAAAAAGGGAAUGCAGCACGAGGACUUCCCAGGAGGUCACCCAUCCCAGUACUACUCUCGCCCAAGCACGCUUAACUUCGAAGUUCUAAUGGGAUCCGGUGCUUUAGUGCUGGUAUGAUCGCAUCCAACUUGUUUCCCCGUCUUCGUCCCUUAUGCUUGCCACUCCCAGGUCCGCUCCAAAGACGAUUCUACAUUAUCACUACCAUUACAACCGUUCCCUAACAAUGGAUAAUGUCCUAUACUACUUACUCUCCCGCUCAAUCACGGAGACGAGUUUUCCACGGUUUCCACCCCUCCCACCAUACCGCAGCAACAAAAGUUUUUUCCACCCCUUUCAGAACGCGCUCUUCGCGCCACAAAGCCGCCCCAAGACGCGCGAGCAAUGAGCAUCGAGCUUAAACAUAUCGCAAACGUCAAAAAUAAUAUAACGGGAUUAAUAUAUAUCGCGCACGUGCGAUAUGUUUGUCACAAGGCGCAAAAAAUAAUUAAAAAGGGAAUGCAACACGAGGACUUCCCAGGAAGUCACCCAUCCUAGUACUACUCUCGCCCAAGCACGCAUAACUUCGGAGUUCUGAUGGGAUCCGGUGCUUUAGUGCUAGUAUGAUCGCAUCCGACGUGUUUCCCCGUCUUCGUCCCUUAUGCUUGCCACUCCCAGGUCCGCUCCAAAGACGAUUCUACAUUCUCACUACCAUUAAAACCGUUCCCUAACAAUGGAUAAUGUCCUAUACUACUUACUCUCCCGCUCAAUCACGGAGACGAGUUUUCCACGGUUUCCACCCCUCCCUCCAUACAGCAGCAACACGAGUUUUUUCACCCCUUUCAGAACGCGCUCUUCGCGCCACCAAGCCGCCCCAAGACGCGCGAGCAAUGAGCAUCGAGCUUAAACAUAUCGCAAACGUCAAAAAUAAUAUAACGGGAUUAAUAUAUAUCGCGCAUGUGCGAUAUGUUUGUCACAAGGCGCAAAUAAUAAUUAAAAAGGGAAUGCAACACGAGGACUUCCCAGGAGGUCACGCAUCCUAGUACUACUCUCGCCCAAGCACGCUUAACUUCAGAGUUCUAAUGGGAUCCGAUGCUUUAGUGCUGGUAUGAUCGCAUCCGACGUGUUUUCCCGUCUUCGUCCCUUAUGCUUGCCACUCCCAGGUCCGCUCCAAAGACGAUUCUACAUUCUCACUACCAUUACAACCGUUCCCUAACAAUGGAUAAUGUCCUAUACUACUUAUUCUCCCACUCAAUCACGGAGACGAGUUUUCCACGGUUUCCACCCCUCCCUCCAUACCGCAGCAGCACGAGUUUUUUCCACCCCUUUAAGAACGCGCUCUUCGCGCCACAAAGCCGCCCCAAGACGCGCGAGCAAUGAGCAUCGAGCUUAAACAUAUCGCAAACGUCAAAAAUAAUAUAACGGGAUUAAUAUAUAUCGCGCGCGUGCGAUAUGUUUGUCACAAGGCGCAAAGAAUAUUUAAAAAUGGAAUGCAACACGAGGACUUCCACGAGGUCACCCAUCCUAGUACUACUCUCGCCCAAGCACGCUUAACUUCGGAGUUCUGAUGGGAUCCGGUGCUUUAGUGCUGGUAUGAUCGCAUCCAACAUGUUUCCCCGUCUUCGUACCUUAUGCUUGCCACUCCCAGGUCCGCUCCAAAGACGAUUCUACAUUCUCACUACCAUUACAACCGUUCCCUAACAAUGGAUAAUGUCCUAUACUAGUUACUCUCCCGCUCAAUCACGGAGACGAGUUUUCCACGGUUUCCACCCCUCCCUCCAUACCGCAGCAACAUGAGUUUUUUCCACCCCUUUCAGAACGCGCUCUUCGCGCCGCAAAGCCGCCCCAAGACGUGCGAGCAAUGAGCAUCGAGCUUAAACAUAUCGCAAACGUCAAAAAUAAUAUAACGGGAUUAAUAUAUAUCGCGCACGUGCGAUAUGUUUGUCACAAGGCGCAAAAAAUAAUUGAAUAGGGAUUGCAACACGAGGACUUCCCAGGAGGUCACCCAUCCUAGUACUACUCUCGCCCAAGCACGCUUAACUUCAGAGUUCUAAUGGGAUCCGGUGCUUUAGUGCUGGUAUGAUCGCAUCCAACAUGUUUCCCCGUCUUCGUCCCUUAUGCUUGCCACUCCCAGGUCCGCUCCAAAGACGAUUCUACAUUCUCACUAACAUUACAACCGUUCCCUAACAAUGGAUAAUGUCCUAUACUACUUACUCUCCCGCUCAAUCACGGAGACGAGUUUUCCACGGUUUCCACCCCUCCCUCCAUACCGCAGCAACACGAGUUUUUUCCACCCCUUUCAGAACGCGCUCUUCGCGCCACAAAGCCGCCCCAAGACGUGCGAGCAAUGAGCAUCGAGCUUAAACAUAUCGCAAACGUCAAAAAUAAUAUAACGGGAUUAAUAUAUAUCGCGCACGUGCGAUAUGUUUGUCACAAGGCGCAAAAAAUAAUUGAAUAGGGAUUGCAACACGAGGACUUCCCAGGAGGUCACCCAUCCUAGUACUACUCUCGACCAAGCACGCUUAACUUUGGAGUUCUGAUGGGAUCCGGUGCUUUAGUGCUGGUAUGAUCACAUCCGACAUGUUUCCCUGUCUUCGUCCCUUAUGCUUGCCACUCCCAGGUCCGCCCCAAAGACGAUUCUACAUUCUCACUAACAUUACAACCGUUCCCUAACAAUGGAUAAUGUCCUAUACUACUUACUCUCCCGCUCAAUCACGGAGACGAGUUUUCCACGGUUUCCACCCCUCCCUCCAUACCGCAGCAACACGAGUUUUUUCCACCCCUUUAAGAACGCGCUCUUCGCGCCACAAAGCCGCCCCAAGACGCGCGAGCAAUGAGCAUCGAGCUUAAACAUAUCGCAAACGUCAAAAAUAAUAUAACGGGAUUAAUAUAUAUUGCGCACGUGCGAUAUGUUUGUCACACGGCGCAAAAAAUAAUUAAAAAGGGAAUGCAACACGAGGACUUCCUAGGAGGUCACCCAUCCCAGUACUACUCUCGCCCAAGCACGCUUAACUUCGAAGUUCUGAUGGGAUCCGGUGCUUUAGUGCUGGUAUGAUCGCAUCCGACUUGUUUCCCCAUCUUCGUCCCUUAUGCUUGCCACUCCCAGGUCCGCUCCAAAGACGAUUCUACAUUAUCACUACCAUUACAACCGUUCCCUAACAAUGGAUAAUGUACUAUACUACUUACUCUCCCGCUCAAUCACGGAGACGAGUUUUCCACGGUUUCCACCCCUCCCUCCAUACCGCAGCAACACGAGUUUUUUCCACCCCUUUCAGAACGCGCUCUUCGCGCCACAAAGCCGCCCCAAGACGCGCGAGCAAUGAGCAUCGAGCUUAAACAUAUCGCAAACGUCAAAAAUAAUAUAACGGGAUUAAUAUAUAUCGCGCACGUGCGAUAUGUUUGUCACAAGGCGCAAAAAAUAAUUAAAAAGGGAAUGCAACACGAGGACUUCCCAGGAAGUCACCCAUCCUAGUACUACUCUCGCCCAAGCACGCAUAACUUCGGAGUUCUGAUGGGAUCCGGUGCUUUAGUGCUAGUAUGAUCGCAUCCGACGUGUUUCCCCGUCUUCGUCCCUUAUGCUUGCCACUCCCAGGUCCGCUCCAAAGACGAUUCUACAUUCUCUCUACCAUUACAACCGUUCCCUAACAAUGGAUAAUGUCCUAUACUACUUACUCUCCCGCUCAAUCACGGAGACGAGUUUUCCACGUUUUCCACCCCUCCCUCCAUACCGCAGCAACACGAUUUUUUUCCACUCCUUUCAAAACACGCUCUUCGCGCCACAAAGCCGCCCCAAGACGCACGAGCAAUGAGCAUAGAGCUUAAACAUAUCGCAAACGUCAAAAAUAAUAUAACGGGAUUAAUAUAUAUCGCGCACGUGCGAUAUGUUUGUCACGAGGCGCAAAAAAUAUUUGAAUAGGGAAUGCAACAGGAGGACUUCCCAGGAGGUCACCCAUCCUAGUAAUACUCUCGCCCAAGCACGCUUAACUUCUGAGUUCUCAUGGGAUCCGGUGCUUUAGAGCUAGUAUGAUCGCAUCCAACAUGUUUCCCUGUCUUCGUCCCUUAUGCUUGCCACUCCCAGGUCCGCUCCAAAGACGAUUCUACAUUCUCACUACCAUUACAACCGUUCCCUAACAAUGGAUAAUGUCCUAUACUACUUACUCUCCUGCUCAAUCACGGAGACGAGUUUUCCACGGUUUCCACCCCUCCCUCCAUACCGCAGCAACACGAGUUUUUUCCACCCCUUUCAGAACGCGCUCUUCGCACCACAAAGCCGCCCCAAGACGCGCGAGCAAUGAGCAUCGAGCUUAAACAUAUCGCAAACGUCAAAAAUAAUAUAACGGGAUUAAUAUAUAUCGCGCACGUGCGAUAUGUUUGUCACAAGGCGCAAAAAUAAUUAAAUAGGGAGUGCAACACGAGGACUUCCCAGGAGGUCACCCAUCCUAGUACUACAAUCGCCCAAGCACGCUUAACUUCGAAGUUCUGAUGGGAUCCGGUGCUUUAGUGCUGGUAUGAUCGCAUCCGACAUGUUUACCUGUCUUUGUCCCUUAUGCUUGCCACUUCCAGGUCCGCUCCAAAGAUGAUUCUGCAUUCUCACUACCAUUACAACCGUUCCCUAACAGUGGAUAAUGUCCUAUACUACUUACUCUCCCGCUCAAUCAUGGAGACGAGUUUUCCACGGGUUCCACCCCUCCCUCCAUACCGCAGCAACACGAGUUUUUUCCACCCCUUUCAGAACGCGCUCUUCGCGCCACAAAGCCGCCCCAAGACGUGCGAGCAAUGAGCAUCGAGCUUAAACAUAUCGCAAACAUCAAAAAUAAUAUAACGGGAUUAAUAUAUAUCGCGCACGUGCGAUAUAUUUGUCACAAGGCGCAAAAAAUAAUUAAAAAGGGAAUGCAACAUGAGGACUUCCCAGGAGGUCACCCAUCCUAGUACUACUCUCGCCCAAGCAAGCUUAACUUCGGAGUUCUGAUGGGAUCCGGUGCUUUAGUGCUGGUAUGAUCGCAUCUGACAUGUUUCCCCGUCUUCGUCCCUUAUGCUUGCCACUCCCAGGUCCGCUCCAAAGACGAUUCUACAUUCUCACUAGCAAUACAACCGUUCCCUAACAAUGGAUAAUGUCCUAUACUACUUACUCUCCCGCUCAAUCACUGAGACGAGUUUUCCACGGUUUCCACCCCUCCCUCCAUACCGCAGCAACACGAGUUUUUUCCACCCCUUUCAGAACGCGCUCUUCGCGCCACAAAGUCGCCCCAAGACGCGCGAGCAAUGAGCAUCGAGCUUAAACAUAUCGCAAACAUCAAAAAUAAUAUAACGGAAUUAAUAUAUAUCGCAGACAUGCGAUAUGUUUGUCACAAGGCGCAAAAAAUAAUUAAAAAGGGAAUGCAACACGAGGACUUCCCAGGAGGUAACCCAUCCUAGUACUACUCUCGCCCAAGCACGCUUAACUUCGGAGUUCUGAUUGUAUCCGGUGCUUUAGUGCUGGUAUGAUCGCAUCCGACAUGUUUCCCCGUCUUUGUCCCUUAUGCUUGCCACUCCCAAGUCCGCUCCAAAGACAAUUCUACAUUCUUACUACCAUUACAACUGUUUCCUGACAAUGGAUAAUGUCCUAUACUACUUACUCUCCCGCUCAAUCACGGAUACGAGUUUUCCAUGGUUUCCACCCCUCCCUCCAUACCGCAGCAACACGAGUUUUUUCCACCCCUUUCAAAACGCGCUCUUCGCGCCACAAAGCCGCCCCAAGACGCGCGAGCAAUGAGCAUCGAUCUUAAACAUAUCGCAAACGUCAAAAAUAAUAUAACGGGAUUAAUAUAUAUCGCGCACGUGCAAUAUGUUUGUCACAAGGCGCAAAAUAUAAUUAAAAAGGGAAUGCAACACGAGGACUUCCCAGGAGGUCACCCAUCCUAGUACUACUCUCGCCCAAGCAUGCUUAACUUCGGAGUUCUGAUGGGAUCCGGUGCUUUAGAGCUGGUAUGAUCGCAUACGACAUGUUUCCCCGUCUUCGUCCCUUAUGCUUGCCACUCCCAGGUCCGCUUCAAAGAUGAUUCUACAUUCUCACUACCAUUACAACCGUUCCCUAACAAUGGAUAAUGUCCUAUACUACUUACUCUCCCGCUCAAUCACAGAGACUAGUUUUCCACGGUUUCCCCCCCUCCCUCCAUACCGCAGCAACACGAGUUUUUUCCACCCCUUUUAGAACGCGCUCUUCGCGCCACAAAGCCGCCCCAAGACACGCGAGCAAUGAGCAUCGAGCUUAAACAUAUCACAAACGUCAAAAAUAAUAUGACGGGAUUAAUAUAUAUCACGCACGUGUGAUAUGUUUGUCACAAGGCGCAAAAAAUAAUUAAAAAGGGAAUGCAACACGAGGACUUCCCAGGAGGUCACCCAUCCUAGUACUACUCUCGCCCAAGCACGCUUAAUUUCGGAGUUCUGAUGGGAUCCGGUGCUUUAGUGCUGGUAUGAUCGCAUCCGACAUGUUUCCCCGUCUUCGUCCCUUAUGCUUGCCACUCCCAGGUCCGCUCCAAAGACGAUUCUACAUUCUCACUACCAUUACAACCGUUCCCUAACAAUGGAUAAUGUCCUAUACUACUUACUCUCCCGCUCAAUCACGGAGACGAGUUUUCCACGGUUUCCAUCCCUCCCUCCAUACCGCAGCAACAUGAGUUUUUUCCACCCCUUUUAGAACGCGCUCUACGCGCCACAAAGCCGCCCCAAGACACGCGAGCAAUGAGCAUCGAGCUUAAACAUAUCACAAACGUCAAAAAUAAUAUGACGGGAUUAAUAUAUAUCACGCACGUGUGAUAUGUUUGUCACAAGGCGCAAAAAAUAAUUAAAAAGGGAAUGCAACACGAGGACUUCCCAGGAGGUCACCCAUCCUAGUACUACUCUCGCCCAAGCACGCUUAACUUCGGAGUUCUGAUGGGAUCCGGUGCUUUAGUGCUGGUAUGAUCACAUCCGACAUGUUUCCCCGUCUUCGUCCCUUAUGCUUGCCACUCCCAGGUCCGCUCCAAAGACGAUUCUACAUUCUCACUACCAUUACAACCGUUCCCUAACAAUGGAUAAUGUCCUAUACUACUUACUCUCCCGCUCAAUCACGGAGACGAGUUUUCCACGGUUUCCACCCCUCCCUCCAUACAGCAGCAACACGAGUUUUUUCACCCCUUUCAGAACGCGCUCUUCGCGCCACCAAGCCGCCCCAAGACGCGCGAGCAAUGAGCAUCGAGCUUAAACAUAUCGCAAACGUCAAAAAUAAUAUAACGGGAUUAAUAUAUAUCGCGCACGUGCGAUAUGUUUGUCACAAGGCGCAAAAACUAAUUAAAAAGGGAAUGCAACACGAGGACUUCCCAGGAGGUCACCCAUCCUAGUACUACUAUAGCCCAAGCACGCUUAACUUCGGAGUUCUGAUGGGAUCCGGUGCUUUAGUGCUGGUAUGAUCGCAUCCGACAUGUUUCCCCGUCUUCGUCCCUUAUGCUUGCCACUCCCAGGUCCGCUCCAAAGACGAUUCUACAUUGUCACUACCAUUACAACCGUUCUCUAACAAUGGAUAAUGUCCUAUACUACUUACUCUCCCGCUCAAUCACGGAGACGAGUUUUCCACGGUUUCCAUCCCUCCCUCCAUACCGCAGCAAUACGAGUUUUUUCCACCCCUUUCAGAACGCGCUCUUCCCGCCACAAAGUCGCCCCAAGACGCGCGAGCAAUGAGCAUCGAGCUUAAACAUAUCGCAAACGUCAAAAAUAAUAUAACGGGAUUAAUAUAUAUCGCGCACGUGCGAUAUGUUUGUCACAAGGCGCAAAAAAUAAUUAAAAAGGGAAUGCAACACGAGGACUUCCCAAGAGGUCACCCAUCCUAGUACUACUCUCGCCCAAGCACGCUUAACUUCGGGGUUCUGAUGGGAUCCGGUGCUUUAGUGCUGGUAUGAUCGCAUCCGACAUGUUUCCCCGUCUUCGUCUCUUAUGCUUGCCACUCCCAGGUCCGCUCCAAAGACGAUUCUACAUUGUCACUACCAUUACAACCGUUCCCUAACAAUGGAUAAUGUCCUAUACUACUUACUCUCCCGCUCAAUUACGGAGACGAGUUUUCCACGGUUUCCACCCCUCCCUCCAUACAGCAGCAACACGAGUUUUUUCACCCCUUUCAGAACGCGCUCUUCGCGCCACCAAGCCGCCCCAAGACGCGCGAGCAAUGAGCAUCGAGCUUAAACAUAUCGCAAACGUCAAAAAUAAUAUAACGGGAUUAGUAUAUAUCGCGCAUGUGCGAUAUGUUUGUCACAAGGCGCAAAAAGUAAUUAAAAAGGGAAUGCAACACGAGGACUUCCCAGGAGGUCACCCAUCCUAGUACUACUCUCGCCCAAGCACGCUUAACUUCAGAGUUCUAAUGGGAUCCGGUGCUUUAGUGCUGGUAUGAUCGCAUCCGACGUGUUUUCCCGUCUUCGUCCCUUAUGCUUGCCACUCCCACGUCCGCUCCAAAGACGACUCUACAUUCUCACUACCAUUACAAUCGUUCCCUAACAAUGGAUAAUGUCCUAUACUACUUAUUCUCCCACUCAAUCACGGAGACGAGUUUUCCACGGUUUCCACCCCUCCGUCCAUACCGCAGCAGCACGAGUUUUUUCCACCCCUUUAAGAACGCGCUCUUCGCGCCACAAAGCCGCCCCAAGACACGCGAGCAAUGAGUAUCGAGCCUAAACAUAUCGCAAACGUCAAAAAUAAUAUAACGGGAUUAAUAUAUAUCGCGCAUGUGCGAUAUGUUUGUCACAAGGCGUAAAAAAUAAUUAAAAAGGGAAUGCAACACGAGGACUUCCCAGGAGGUCACCCAUCCUAGUACUACUCUCGCCCAAGCAUGCUUAACUUCGGAGUUCUGAUGGGAUCCGGUGCUUUAGUGCUGGUAUGAUCGCAUCCAACAUGUUUCCCCGUCUUCGUACCUUAUGCUUGCCACUCCCAGGUCCGCUCCAAAGACGAUUCUACACUCUCACUACCAUUACAACCGUUCCCUAACAAUGGAUAAUGUCCUAUACUGUCAGGACCUGACUCAAUGCCACAUCGAUCUAGCAUGUAACACCUCAUAUCACUUUGUGGCCUCACGCACGGUAUUCCCACGGGUGUCGCCUUACCUUUGCCCGGGACCGUUUGCGCCUUUUGGCACAUGUAUAUGAUAGUGUCGCUAGCAUCCAUAUGAUAAGGAGCCCAGGUUGACAUGGCUAGUCGUAAACCCAAAGUGGCACAGACUUACAGGGACAGGCAUCCAUGACCCAGCAUCGAACGUGUCGGUCAUCAGCGAGUGAAUCCAGGCUGUAGCACUGGGCUAGCAGGACUCCGGUGAACCGGGCUGUAGCGGGCUAACAGGACUCUGGUAUUCAUCGCGUGACAUUUCCCCGAAGGGACAGACACAGGAACGAAGAAGGACACAUGCCGGCCAGCCUAAGUGUUCCGGAGCAGUACCAAGCUACCAUGGCUCGGUGGAAACACUAGGAGACAUUUUCCGGUAAGAGAGGCUACUAAAGAUAAACAACUAGAUAGUCAGAUCCCACACAUACCAAGCAUUUCAAUAACAUACACACAAUAUGCUCGAUAUGUGCAAAUACAACAUGGCAUCACAACAUGACUCUACGACUCAAGUAUUUAUUCAUUAGGCUCCGAGGAGCGAGAUAUUACAAACAGGGGUCUCAUGACCCAACAUUCAGAGCAUACAAAUCAAAGCACAAGCGGAAGCUUAACAUGUCUGAGUACAGACAUCUAUAAAUGAAAAAGGCUGAGAAGCCUGACUGUCUACCAGAUCCUGCCGAGGGCACAAGAUCGUAGCUGAGGUAACAAGCUAAACAUCGAAGUCCACGUGGAACUACUAGUGAGACUGAAGUCUCUCUGCAAAAACAUAAAAUAGGCAAACAUGAGUACAAAUGUACCCAGCAAGACUUACAUCAGAACUAUCUACAUAUGCAUCAUUAUCAACAAAGGGAUGGUGGGGUUUAACUGCAGCAAGCCAGCUUUGACUCGGUGGCUAUCCUGAACUACUAUUGCAAGUAACUCUUUUGAGGUGGCGCACACGAGUCCACAUAUUCACCAUAGCAAUACACCACUAUGGAUCCGCUCCCGUCUCUCUACGAGAACGCCAUCCAUAGCACUCACGCUUAUCUUGCGUAUUUUAGAGUAUCCACUUUCACUUGUCUAUGAACUGUUAUAGGCAACCCAAAAGUCCUUUACCGCGGACAUGGCUAUUCGAAUAGAUGAUGUUAAUCCUGCAGGGGUGUACUUCUUCAUACAUGUUUCCACCACUUAGCGUCUGCACACGACAUGUGCUCGGCAGACUUCAAGCGAAAGCCGACGUGGGUGUAGACCACGACCUACCUAAACACUCAAGUCUCUAGUCCAGGUUUAUCGCCUAUUCGGGUUCCAUCCAUGAGGAGAUCCGGCCGGAGUUUCGCUCACAGCCCCAAACGAUGUGAACAGGGUUCCGUGACACCAAACGGGCGCCCGGUUUACCCGGCCACGUACCUACCGCAUCAUAGCCCACCCCUACGAUCAGCGCUGUCCACGGCCUCCAGUAGGCUACAAACACCAGAAACUACUUGCAACUCCUGGACAGAGGACUAGGGUGAAUAAGAAGCCGAGCGGGGUCAUAUUUCAGGGCCCAAUGCAUGGUAGUAGCUGAAUCAUGGAUCACAAACAUAGAACUCAGUUCCUAAGGACGGCUUCAAUGAGACAACCCACCAUGUACUCCUACAUGGCCUCUCACCGAUACCUUUACCAAAUCAUGUUCACACACUUAGCUCACACACAGUAGGACAUGUUCACACACCUCUGAUUCAUCCUCGAUGAAUCAGACCUGAUUCAACUCUAAGCAAUAGCAGGCAUGACAAACAAACAUGAAUGAGUAGGCACAACAGGGCUCAAACAAACUCCUACUCAUGCUAGUGGGUUUCAUCUAUUUACUGUGGCAAUGACAGGUCAUGCAGAGGAUAAAGGGGUUCAACUACCGCAGCAAGUAACAGUUGAAUCGAUGUUGUCCUAAUGUAGUAAAAGAGAGCAGGAGCGAGAGAGUGGGAUUGUAUCGGAAUGAACAAGGGGGUUUUGCUUGCCUGACACUUCUGAAGAUAGCUUUGAGUCUUCAUCAGUGUCAACGAUCACAACGUCGGUACAACGUCUACCGAGGGGGAACAACACCAGCAAACACAGAAGAAACACGAUCAAUGCAAUGCACAAUAUGAUGCAUCCUAUGACAUGGCAAUAUGAAUGUGUUUUGGGCUAAUGCAAGCUAGAACAUAUUGAAAUGAGUUCAUUUGAACCAAAGAUUCAAAUGCAAACCCAUUAUAUGAAGUCAUAAAGGUGCAUUAACUUAUUUCAUCUAAACAGCAGGGUUAAGUUGCUCUAACAUGCAUGAAACUAGUGCAGAUGGAUAGAUUGGAUUUUUCUCAUCAUUUUUCAUAUAUAAAUCUUUGCAUUUGGAGUUACAGAUUAAUUUCUAUGAAUUUUUGAAGUUUGCAACAAUUUCUAGAAUUUCCUGUAAAAGAAUAAAUCCAGAAAAGGGCAUUACUGCGUCAGCCUGACAUCAUCAUGACGGCAGCAGGUCAACGAGGCACGGUCCAGGUCAAACCUGACGUGUGGGGUCCACACGUCAGUGACUAACUAACUAAUCUAAAUUAAUUAGUGUUAAACUACUACUAACUAAGAUUUGUCAGUGGAGUAAUUAAACUUAACUAAAAUUAAACUAGGAUUAGCUGGGGCCCUAGGCCCACUUGUCAGCGACCCAGGGGAGGUCAAACUACGGUCAAACCUGGGUCAGCGGGGUCAAACCCACCGGCGGCUUGACGCCGGCGAGGCCAGCCGCGGUGGCGAGCCUCGGGUUUGUGUCUCCGGCGACCAAACGGCCGGCGGAGGGCAUCUACGUGAUGCUGGGACUCGUGCGCAUCCAACACGACUAGCGGCAGCAGCCGGGGUGGACCGAGCUUGCUGGAAACGAGCUCGCAGCGGCGGCCGGAGUUCGGGCGCCGAUGAAAACGAUGACACCGUGCACGGGAGAAUCUACGGUUAGCACCUACGCGUUCUAUGAGACCUCACGAACCCAACGGAGGCACGCACGGGACCAAAUGGCCACCGGAGCCUCGUCCGCGACGAGCUCGUGCGGCGACGUGCUGUCGGGUGAGAGAGGCACGGCGGCUACGGCAUGCUAGAGAGAAAACGAAGAGGGGGAGGAUGAUCAGGAGCUCACGUGGAGUGCAUUGGUGGCCUCGGCGUGCUCGGGGAAGCUCGAACAGCGGCGAUUUGGCGAUGGAGAUCCGCGGCGGCCGACGAUGAAGAAGUGGUCGGGGACGGCGUGUUGGAGCUCUUCCGGCCAUGUGAGCUGAUGGAGAGGAUGAGGGUGUCACAACGGAGCUCUUGGACUCGUCGGAGAGGCGAGGCCGUGGCGGUGGGCGCGGCAACAACGAGCGGCGGCGACAGCUCGCUCGGCUUCGGAAGAGAGGGCGAAAGAGGCGAGGCAGGGAGAGAGGGGAGCGGUCGAGGGGGUCCAGGGGGGCUGCGUGGCACACCUAGCGAUGUCCAGGAGCAAGCGGAAAGCAUGAGGUGGCCGGCGCGUGCGCGCGCGCGUCGGGCACACGCCCUCCUGCCUACUGGCAGGAGGUUGAAGACGGUGGCGGCUGCGGUCGGCUGGGCCGCACAGUGCUGGACCAACACAGGAGCUGGGCCGGCUCUGGUGGGCUGCCCGGGUGAGGCCAGGUACUAGCUCUCUCUCUCUUUUAUUUUCUGUUUUCUAUUAUUUCUGUAACUUUAGGGCUUUGUUUAAAAUACUUAAGCAGAUCCAAAAAUCAUAAAACUAAUCAUGGCUACUAUUUAGGAUAUAUCCAACAGUAAACAUUUUAGUUUAUGAUUAUUUGAGCAUUUAAAAUAUUUUAUUGUAUUUAAAUGCCCAAAUGCAAAUAGAGUAUGAUUUAAUUCAGAGCCCAAUAUGUCCUGCAAAAAUAUAAACCAUUUUUGGUACAUGCUUUCACCUCAAACCAGAAAUGUUGAACAUUUUUAGAGGGCAUUUUGAGUUCAAUGAAAAAGAUUUUAUUUUGACCCUAGUUGAAUUCAUUUGGUGCUAGGGUUUAAGCAUCCCCAUUUCAAGUUUCAUAAAAUUUAAACAUGAUGCAUGGAUCCUAAUGCAAAGACAAGCAAGGCCUGAACUAGGGCUCUGACAUAUACUACUUACUCUCCCGCUCAAUCACGGAGACGAGUUUUCCACGGUUUCCACCCCUCCCUCCAUACUGCAGCAACACGAGUUUUUUCCACCCCUUUCAGAACGCGCUCUUCGCGCCACAAAGCCGCCCCAAGACGCGCGAGCAAUGAGCAUCGAGCUUAAACAUAUCGCAAACGUAAAAAAUAAUAUAACGGGAUUAAUAUAUAUCGCGCACGUGCGAUAUGUUUGGCACAAGGCGCAAAAAAUAAAUAAAAAGGGAAUGCAACACGAGGACUUCCCAGGAGGUCACCCAUCCUAGUACUACUCUCACCCAAGUACGCUUAACUUCGGAGUUCUGAUGGGAUCCGGUGCUUUAAUGCUGGUAUGAUCGCAUCCGACAUGUUUCCCCGUCUUCCUCCCUUAUGCUUGCCACUCCCAGGUCCGCUCCAAAAACGAUUCUACAUUCUCACUACCAUUACAACCGCUCCCUAACAAUGGAUAAUGUCCUAUACUACUUACUCUCCCGCUCAAUCACGGAGAUGAGUUUUCCACGGAUUCCACCCCUCCCUCCAUACCGCAGCAACACGAGUUUUUGCCACCCCUUUCAGAACGCGCUCUUCGCGCCAUAAAGCCGCCCCAAGACGCGCGAGCAAUGAGCAUCGAGCUUAAACAUAUCGCAAACGUCAAAAAUAAUAUAACGGGAUUAAUAUAUAUCGCGCACAUGCGAUAUGUUUGUCACAAGGCACAAAACAUAAUUAAAAAGGGAAUGCAACACGAGGACUUCCCAGGAGGUCACCCAUCCUAGUACUACUCUCACCAAAGCACGCUUAACUUCGGAGUUCUAAUGGGAUUCGGUGCUUUAGAGCUGGUAUGAUCGCAUCCGACAUGUUUCCCCGUCUUCGUCCCUUAUGCUUGCCACUCCCAGGUCCGCUCCAAAGACGAUUCUACAUUCUCACUACCAUUACAACCGUUCCCUAACAAUGGAUAAUGUCCUAUACUACUUCUCUCCCGCUCAAUCAGGGAGACGAGUUUUCCACGGUUUCCACCCCUCCCUCCAUACCGCAGCAACAUGAGUUUUUUCCACCCCUUUCAGAACGCGCUCUUCGCGCCACAAAGCCGCCCCAAGACGCGCGAGCAAUGAGCAUCGAGCUUAAACAUAUCGCAAAUGUCAAAAAAAAUAAUAUGAUGGGAUUAAUAUAUAUCGCCCAUGUGCGAUAUGUUUGUCACAAGGCGCAAAAAAUAAUUAAAAAGGGAAUGCAACACGAGGACUUCCCAGGAGGUCACCCAUCCUAGUACUACUCUCGCCCAAGCACGCUUAAUUUCGGAGUUCUGAUGGGAUCCGGUGCUUUAGUGCUGGUAUGAUCGCAUCCGACAUGUUUCCCCGUCUUCGUCCCUUAUGCUUGCCACUCCCAGGUUCGCUCCAAAGACGAUUCUACAUUCUCACUACCAUUACAACCGUUCGCUAACAAUGGAUAAUGUCCUAUACUACUUACUCUCCCGCUCAAUCACGGAGACGAGUUUUCCACGGUUUCCACCCCUCCCUCCAUAUCGCAGCAACACGAGUUUUUUCCACCCCUUUCAGAACGCGCUCUUCGCGCCACAAAGUCGCCCCAAGACGCGCGAGCAAUGAGCAUCGAGCUUAAACAUAUCGCAAACGUCAAAAAAAAUAUAACGGGAUUAAUAUAUAUCGCGCACGUGCGAUAUGUUUGUCACAAGGCGCAAAAAAUAAUUAAAAAGGGAAUGCAACACGAGGACUUCCCAGGAGGUCACCCAUCCUAGUACUACUCUCGCCCAAUCACGCUUAACUACGGAGUUCUGAUGGGAUCCGGUGCUUUAAUGCUGGUAUGAUCGCAUCCAACAUGUUUCCCCGUCUUCGUCCCUUAUGCUUGCCACUCCUAGGUCCGCUCCAAAAACGAUUCUACAUUCUCACUACCAUUACAACCGUUCCCUAACAAUGGAUAAUGUCCUAUACUACUUACUCUCCCGCUCAAUCACGGAGACGAGUUUUCCACGGAUUCCACCCCUCCCUCCAUACCGCAACAACACGAGUUUUUUCCACCCCUUUCAGAAUGCGCUCUUCGCGCCAUAAAGCCGCCCCAAGACGCACGAGCAAUGAACAUCGAGCUUAAACAUAUCGCAAACGUCAAAAAUAAUAUAACGGGAUUAAUAUAUAUCGCGCACGUGCGAUAUGUUUGUCACAAGGCGCAAAAAAUAAUUAAAAAGGGAAUGCAACACGAGGACUUCCCAAGAGGUCACCCAUCCUAGUACUACUCUCGCCCAAGCACGCUUAAUUUCGGAGUUCUAAUGGGAUUCGGUGCUUUAGAGCUGGUAUGAUCGCAUCCGACAUGUUUCCCCGUCUUCGUCCCUUAUGCUUGCCACUCCCAGGUUCGCUCCAAAGACGAUUCUACAUUCUCACUACCAUUACAACCGUUCCCUAACAAUGGAUAAUGUCCUAUACUACUUACUCUCACGCUCAAUCACGGAGACGAGUUUUCCACGGUUUCCACCCCUCCCUCCAUACCGCAGCAACACGAGUUUUUUCCACCCCUUUCAGAACGCGCUCUUCGCGCCACAAAGUCGCCCCAAGACGCGCGAGCAAUGAGCAUCGAGCUUAAACAUAUCGCAAACGUCAAAAAUAAUAUAACGGGAUUAAUAUAUAUCGCGCACGUGCGAUAUGUUUGUCACAAGGCACAAAAAAUAAUUAAAAAGGGAAUGCAACACGAGGACUUCCCAGGAGGUCACCCAUCCUAGUACUACUCUCGCCCAAGCACGCUUAACUUCGGAGUUCUGAUGGGAUCCGGUGCUUUAAUGUUGGUAUGAUCGCAUCCAACAUGUUUCCCCGUCUUCGUCCCUUAUGCUUGCCACUCCUAGGUCCGCUCCAAAAACGAUUCUACAUUCUCACUACCAUUACAACCGUUCCCUAACAAUGGAUAAUGUCCUAUACUACUUACUCUCCUGCUCAAUCACGGAGAUGAGUUUUCCACGGUUUCCACCCCACCCUCCAUACCGCAGCAACACGAGUUUUUUCCACCCCUUUCAGAACGCGCUCUUCGUGCCAUAAAGCCGCCCCAAGACGCGCGAGCAAUGAGCAUCGAGCUUAAACAUAUCGCAAACGUCAAAAAUAAUAUAACGGGAUUAAUAUAUAUCGCGCACGUGCGAUAUGUUUGUCACAAGGCGCAAAAAAUAAUUAAAAAGGGAAUGCAACACGAGGACUUCCCAGGAGGUCACCCAUCCUAGUACUACUCUCGCGCAAUCACGCUUAACUUCGGGGUUCUGAUGGGAUCCGGUGCUUUAAUGCUGGUAUGAUCGCAUCCAACAUGUUUCCCCGUCUUCGUCCCUUAUGCUUGCCACUCCUAGGUCCGCUCCAAAAACGAUUCUACAUUCUCACUACCAUUACAACCGUUCCCUAACAAUGGAUAAUGUCCUAUACUACUUACUCUCCCGCUCAAUCACGGAGACGAGUUUUCCACGGAUUCCACCCCUCCCUCCAUACCGCAGCAACACGAGUUUUUUCCACCCCUUUCAGAACGCGCUCUUCGCGCCAUAAAGCCGCCCCAAGACGCGCGAGCAAUGAGCAUCGGGCUUAAACAUAUCGCAAACGUCAAAAAUAAUAUAACGGGAUUAAUAUAUAUCGCGCACGUGCGAUAUGUUUGUCACAAGGCGCAAAAAAUAAUUAAAAAGGGAAUGCAACACGAGGACUUCCCAGGAGGUCACCCAUCCUAGUACUACUCUCGCGCAAUCACGCUUAACUUCGGGGUUCUGAUGGGAUCCGNNNNNNNNNNNNNNNNNNNNNNNNNNNNNNNNNNNNNNNNNNNNNNNNNNNNNNNNNNNNNNNNNNNNNNNNNNNNNNNNNNNNNNNNNNNNNNNNNNNNNNNNNNNNNNNNNNNNNNNNNNNNNNNNNNNNNNNNNNNNNNNNNNNNNNNNNNNNNNNNNNNNNNNNNNNNNNNNNNNNNNNNNNNNNNNNNNNNNNNNNNNNNNNNNNNNNNNNNNNNNNNNNNNNNNNNNNNNNNNNNNNNNNNNNNNNNNNNNNNNNNNNNNNNNNNNNNNNNNNNNNNNNNNNNNNNNNNNNNNNNNNNNNNNNNNNNNNNNNNNNNNNNNNNNNNNNNNNNNNNNNNNNNNNNNNNNNNNNNNNNNNNNNNNNNNNNNNNNNNNNNNNNNNNNNNNNNNNNNNNNNNNNNNNNNNNNNNNNNNNNNNNNNNNNNNNNNNNNNNNNNNNNNNNNNNNNNNNNNNNNNNNNNNNNNNNNNNNNNNNNNNNNNNNNNNNNNNNNNNNNNNNNNNNNNNNNNNNNNNNNNNNNNNNNNNNNNNNNNNNNNNNNNNNNNNNNNNNNNNNNNNNNNNNNNNNNNNNNNNNNNNNNNNNNNNNNNNNNNNNNNNNNNNNNNNNNNNNNNNNNNNNNNNNNNNNNNNNNNNNNNNNNNNNNNNNNNNNNNNNNNNNNNNNNNNNNNNNNNNNNNNNNNNNNNNNNNNNNNNNNNNNNNNNNNNNNNNNNNNNNNNNNNNNNNNNNNNNNNNNNNNNNNNNNNNNNNNNNNNNNNNNNNNNNNNNNNNNNNNNNNNNNNNNNNNNNNNNNNNNNNNNNNNNNNNNNNNNNNNNNNNNNNNNNNNNNNNNNNNNNNNNNNNNNNNNNNNNNNNNNNNNNNNNNNNNNNNNNNNNNNNNNNNNNNNNNNNNNNNNNNNNNNNNNNNNNNNNNNNNNNNNNNNNNNNNNNNNNNNNNNNNNNNNNNNNNNNNNNNNNNNNNNNNNNNNNNNNNNNNNNNNNNNNNNNNNNNNNNNNNNNNNNNNNNNNNNNNNNNNNNNNNNNNNNNNNNNNNNNNNNNNNNNNNNNNNNNNNNNNNNNNNNNNNNNNNNNNNNNNNNNNNNNNNNNNNNNNNNNNNNNNNNNNNNNNNNNNNNNNNNNNNNNNNNNNNNNNNNNNNNNNNNNNNNNNNNNNNNNNNNNNNNNNNNNNNNNNNNNNNNNNNNNNNNNNNNNNNNNNNNNNNNNNNNNNNNNNNNNNNNNNNNNNNNNNNNNNNNNNNNNNNNNNNNNNNNNNNNNNNNNNNNNNNNNNNNNNNNNNNNNNNNNNNNNNNNNNNNNNNNNNNNNNNNNNNNNNNNNNGAUGUGAUGGACAAGACCCAAUCCUAAACAUAGCACAAGAUCGUAUAGUUCGUUUGCUAGAGUUUUCCAAUGUCAAAGUAUCUUUUCCUUAGACCAUGAGAUCGUGUAACUCCCGGAUACCGUAGGAGUGCUUUGGGUAUGCCAAACGUCACAACGUAACUGGGUGACUAUAAAGGUAGACUACGGGUAUCUCCGAAAGUGUCUGUUGGGUGACAUGGAUCAAGACUGGGAUUUGUCACUCCGUAUGACGGAGAGGUAUCACUGGGCCCACUCGGUAAUGCAUCAUCAUAAUGAGCUCAGAGUGACCAAGUGUCUGGUCACGGGAUCAUGCAUUACGGUACGAGUAAAGUGACUUGCCGGUAACGAGAUUGAACGAGGUAUUGGGAUACCGACGGUCGAAUCUCGGGCAAGUAACAUAUCGAUAGACAAAGGGAAUAGCGUACGGGAUUGAUUAAAUCCUCGACAUCGUGGUUCAUCCGAUGAAGAUCAUCGUGGAGCAUGUGGGAGCCAACAUGGGUAUCCAGAUCCCGCUGUUGGUUAUUGACCGGAGAGUCGUCUCGGUCAUGUCUGCUUGUCUCCCGAACCCGUAGGGUCUACACACUUAAGGUUCAGUGACGCUAGGGUUAUGAAGAUAUGUAUAUGCAGAAACCCGAAUGUUUUUCGGAGUCCCGGAUGAGAUCCCGGACGUCACGAGGAGUUCCGGAAUGGUCCGGAGGUAAAGAAUUAUAUAUAGGAAGUGCUAUUUCGGGCAUCGGGACAAGUUUCGGGGUUAUCGGUAUUGUACCGGGACCACCGGAAGGGUCCCGGGGGUCCACCGGGUGGGGCCACCUGUCCCGGGGGGCCACAUGGGCUGUAGGGGGUGCGCCUUGGCCUAGAUGGGCCAUGGGCACCAGCCCCUAUAGGCCCAUGCGCCUAGGGUUUCCACCAUGGAAGAGUCCAUGUGGUGGAAGGCACCCCUAGGUGCCUUGGGGGGGAGGGAAACCUCCCCUUGGCCGCCGCCCCCCCUAUUAGAUCUCAUCUACUAGGGCCGGCGCCCCCCUGGCACCCCUAUAUAUAGUGGGGGAGAGGAGGGAUUUCACACCAGCCCCUGGCGCCUCCAUCUCCCCCUGUUACGUCUCUCCCUCGUAGUCUCGGCGAAGCCCUGCUGCUGUGACGCCCUGCAUCCACCACCACGCCGUCGUGCUGCUGGAUCUUCAUCAACCUCUCCUUCCCCCUUGCUGGAUCAAGAAGGAGGAGACGUCUCCCGUCCCGUACGUGUGUUGAACGCGGAGGUGCCGUCCGUUCGGCGCUGGUCAUCGGUGAUUUGAAUCACGUCGAGUACGACUACAUCAUCACCGUUCUUUUGAACGCUUCCGUGCGCGAUCUACAAAGGUAUGUAGAUGCAUCUAAUCACUCGUUGCUAGAUGAACUCCUAGAUGAUCUUGGUGAAACGAGUAGGAAAAUUUUUGUUUUGUGCAACGUUCCCCAACAGUGGCAUCAUGAGCUAGGUCUAUGCGUAGUUCUUCUUGCGCGAGUAGAACACAAUUUGUUGUGGGCGUAGAUUUGUCAACUUUCUUGCCGUUACUAGUCCUUUCUUGCUUCAGCGGUAUUGUGGGAUGAAGCGGCCCGGACCAACCUUACACGUACGCUUACGUGAGACCGGUUCCACCGACUAACAUGCACUAGUUGCAUAAGGUGGCUGGCGGGUGUCUGUCUCUCCUACUUUAGUUGGAGCGGAAUCGAUGAACAGGGUCCUUAUGAAGGGUAAAUAGAAGUUGACAAAUCACGUUGUGGCUUUAACGUAGGUAAGAAAACGUUCUUGCUAGAACCCUAAUUCAGCCACGUAAAACUUGCAACAACAAUUAGAGGACGUCUAACUUGUUUUUGCAGCAAGUGGUUUGUGAUAUGAUAUGGCCAAAGUUGUGAUGAAUGAUGAAUGAUCUAUAUGUGAUGUAUGAGAUGUUCAUGCUAUUNNNNNNNNNNNNNNNNNNNNNNNNNNNNNNNNNNNNNNNNNNNNNNNNNNNNNNNNNNNNNNNNNNNNNNNNNNNNNNNNNNNNNNNNNNNNNNNNNNNNNNNNNNNNNNNNNNNNNNNNNNNNNNNNNNNNNNNNNNNNNNNNNNNNNNNNNNNNNNNNNNNNNNNNNNNNNNNNNNNNNNNNNNNNNNNNNNNNNNNNNNNNNNNNNNNNNNNNNNNNNNNNNNNNNNNNNNNNNNNNNNNNNNNNNNNNNNNNNNNNNNNNNNNNNNNNNNNNNNNNNNNNNNNNNNNNNNNNNNNNNNNNNNNNNNNNNNNNNNNNNNNNNNNNNNNNNNNNNNNNNNNNNNNNNNNNNNNNNNNNNNNNNNNNNNNNNNNNNNNNNNNNNNNNNNNNNNNNNNNNNNNNNNNNNNNNNNNNNNNNNNNNNNNNNNNNNNNNNNNNNNNNACAAUGGAUAAUGUCCUAUACUACUUACUCUCCCGCUCAAUCACGGAGACGAGUUUUCCACGGAUUCCACCCCUCCCUCCAUACCGCAGCAACACGAGUUUUUUCCACCCCUUUCGGAAUGCGCUCUUCGCGCCAUAAAGCCGCCCCAAGACGCGCGAGCAAUGAGCAUCGAGCUUAAACAUAUCGCAAACGUCAAAAAAAAUAUAACGGGAUUAAUAUAUAUCGCGCACGUGCGAUAUGUUUGUCACAAGGCGCAAAAAAUAAUUAAAAAGGGAAUGCAACAAGAGGACUUCCCAGGAGGUCACCCAUCCUAGUACUACUCUCGCUCAAGCACGCUUAACUUCGGAGUUCUAAUGGGAUUCGGUGCUUUAGAGCUGGUAUGAUCGCAUCCAACAUGCUUCCCCGUCUUCGUCCCUUAUGCUUGCCACUCCCAGGUCCGCUCCAAAGACGAUUCUACAUUCUCACUACCAUUACAACCGUUCCCUAACAAUGGAUAAUGUCCUAUACUACUUACUCUCCCGCUCAAUCACGGAGACGAGUUUUCCACGGUUUCCACCCCUCCCUCCAUACCGCAACAACACGAGUUUUUUCCACCUCUUCCAGAACGCGCUCUUCGCGCCACAAAGCCGCCCCAAGACGCGCGAGCAAUGAGCAUCGAGCUUAAACAUAUCACAAACGUCAAAAAUAAUAUAACGGGAUUAAUAUAUAUCGCGCACGUGCGAUAUGUUUGUCACAAGGUGCAAAAAAUAAUUAAAAAGGGAAUGCAACACGAGGACUUCCCAGGAGGUCACCCAUCCUAGUACUACUCUCGCCCAAGCACGCUUAACUUCGAAGUUCUGAUGUGAUCCGGUGCUUUAGUGCUGGUAUGAUCGCAUCCGACAUGUUUCCCCGUCUUCGUCCCUUAUGCUUGCCACUCCCAGGUGCGCUCCAAAGACGAUUCUACAUUCUCACUACCAUUACAACUGUUCCCUAACAAUGGAUAAUGUCCUAUACUACUUACUCUCCUGCUCAAUCGGAGAAGAGUUUUCCACGGUUUCCACCCCUCCCUCCAUACCGCAGCAACACGAGUUUUUUCCACCCCUUUCAGAACGCGCUCUUCGCGCCACAAAGCUGCCCCAAGACGCGCGAGCAAUGAGCAUCGUGUUGGAAAUAUGCCCUAGAGGCAAUAAUAAAAGCAUUAUUAUUAUAUUUCCUUGUUCAUGAUAAUUGUCUUUAUUCAUGCUAUAAUUGUGUUAUCCGGAAAUCGUAAUACAUGUGUGAAUAACAGACACCAACAUGUCCCUAGUGAGCCUCUAGUUGACUAGCUCGUUGAUCAACAGAUAGUCAUGGUUUCCUGACUAUGGACACUGGAUGUCAUUGAUAACGAGAUCACAUCAUUGGGAGAAUGAUGUGAUGGACAAGACCCAAUCCUAAACAUAGCACAAGAUCGUAUAGUUCGUUUGCUAGAGUUUUCCAAUGUCAAAGUAUCUUUUCCUUAGACCAUGAGAUCGUGUAACUCCCGGAUACCGUAGGAGUGCUUUGGGUAUGCCAAACGUCACAACGUAACUGGGUGACUAUAAAGGUAGACUACGGGUAUCUCCAAAAGUGUCUGUUGGGUGACAUGGAUCAAGACUGGGAUUUGUCACUCCGUAUGACGGAGAGGUAUCACUGGGCCCACUCGGUAAUGCAUCAUCAUAAUGAGCUCAGAGUGACCAAGUGUCUGGUCACGGGAUCAUGCAUUACGGUACGAGUAAAGUGACUUGCUGGUAACGAGAUUGAACGAGGUAUUGGGAUACCGACGAUCGAAUCUCGGGCAAGUAACAUAUCGAUAGACAAAGGGAAUAGCGUACGGGAUUGAUUAAAUCCUCGACAUCGUGGUUCAUCCGAUGAGAUCAUCGUGGAGCAUGUGGGAGCCAACAUGGGUAUCCAGAUCCCGCUGUUGGUUAUUGACCGGAGAGUCGUCUCGGUCAUGUCUGCUUGUCUCCCGAACCCGUAGGGUCUACACACUUAAGGUUCGGUGAUGCUGGGGUUAUGAAGAUAUGUAUAUGCGAAUGUUGUUCGGAGUCCCGGAUGAGAUCCCGGACGUCACGAGGAGUUCCGGAAUGGUCCGGAGGUAAAGAAUUAUAUAUAGGAAGUGCUAUUUCGGGCAUCGGGACAAGUUUCGGGGUUAUCGGUAUUGUACCGGGACCACCGGAAGGGUCCCGGGGGUCCACCGGGUGGGGCCACCUGUCCCGGGGGGGCCACAUGGGCUGUAGGGGGUGCGCCUUGGCCUAGAUGGGCCAAGGGCACCAGCCCCUAUAGGCCCAUGCGCCUAGGGUUUCCACCAUGGAAGAGUCCAUGUGGUGGAAGGCACCCCUAGGUGCCUUGGGGGGGAGGGAAACCUCCCCUUGGCCGCCGCCCCCCCUAGUAGAUGCCAUCUACUAGGGCCGGCGCCCCCCUGGCACCCCUAUAUAUAGUGGGGGAGAGGAGGGAUUUCAGACCAGCCCCUGGCGCCUCCAUCUCCCCCCGUUACGUCUCUCCCUCGUAGUCUCGGCGAAGCCCUGCUGCUGUGACGCCCUGCAUCCACCACCACGCCGUCGUGCUGCUGGAUCUUCAUCAACCUCUCCUUCCCCCUUGCUGGAUCAAGAAGGAGGAGACGUCUCCCGUCCCGUACGUGUGUUGAACGCGGAGGUGCCGUCCGUUCGGCGCUGGUCAUCGGUGAUUUGGAUCACGUCGAGUACGACUACAUCAUCACCGUUCUUUUGAACGCUUCCGUGCACGAUCUACAAAGGUAUGUAGAUGCAUCUAAUCACUCGUUGCUAGAUGAACUCCUAGAUGAUCUUGGUGAAACGAGUAGGAAAAUUUUUGUUUUCUGCAACGUUCCCCAACAGUGGCAUCAUGAGCUAGGUCUAUGCGUAGUUCUUCUUGCGCGAGUAGAACACAAUUUGUUGUGGGCGUAGAUUUGUCAACUUUCUUGCCGUUACUAGUCCUUUCUUGCUUCAGCGGUAUUGUGGGAUGAAGCGGCCCGGACCAACCUUACACAUACGCUUACGUGAGACCGGUUCCACCGACUAACAUGCACUAGUUGCAUAAGGUGGCUGGCGGGUGUCUGUCUCUCCUACUUUAGUUGGAGCGGAAUCGAUGAACAGGGUCCUUAUGAAGGGUAAAUAGAAGUUGACAAAUCACGUUGUGGCUUUAACGUAGGUAAGAAAACGUUCUUGCUAGAACCCUAAUUCAGCCACGUAAAACUUGCAACAACAAUUAGAGGACGUCUAACUUGUUUUUGCAGCAAGUGGUUUGUGAUAUGAUAUGGCCAAAGUUGUGAUGAAUGAUGAAUGAUCUAUAUGUGAUGUAUGAGAUGUUCAUGCUAUUGUAAUAGGAAUCACGACUUGCAUGUCGAUGAGUAUGACAACCGGCAGGAGCCAUAGGAGUUGUCUUUAUUCUUUUAUAUGACUUGCGUGUCAUCAAGAAACGCCAUGUAAAUUACUUUACUUUAUUGCUAAACGCGUUAGCCAUAGUAGUAGAAGUAAUAGUUGGCGAGCAACUUCAUGGAGACACGAUGAUGGAGAUCAUGAUGAUGGAGAUCAUGGUGUCAAGCCGGUGACAAGAUGAUCAUGGAGCCCCAAGAUGGAGAUCAAAGGAGCUAUGUGAUAUUGGCCAUAUCAUGUCACGUUUAUUAUUUGAUUGCAUGUGAUGUUUAUCAUGUUUUGCAUCUUGUUUAUUUAGAACGACGGUAGUAAAUAAGGUGAUCCCUCAUACUAAUUUCAAGAAGUGUUCCCCCUAACUGUGCACCGUUGUGACAGUUCGCUGUUUCAAAACACCACAUGAUGAUCGGGUGUUUUAUUCAGACGUUCACAUACAACGGGUGUAAGACAGAUUUACACAUGCAAACACUUAGGUUGACUUGACGAGCCUAGCAUGUACAGACAUGGCCUCGGAACACAGAAGACCGAAAGGUCGAGCAUGAGUCGUAUAGAAGAUAUGAUCAACAUGAAGAUGUUCACCGAUGUUGACUAGUCCGUCUCACAUGAUGAUCGGACACGGUCUAGUUUAACUCGGAUCAUGUAAUACUUAGAUGACUAGAGGGAUGUCUAAUCUAAGUGGGAGUUCAUUAAUAAUUUGAUUAGUUGAACUUAAUUAUCAUGAACUUAGUCUAAAUAUUUUACAAUAUGUCUUGUAGAUUAAAUGGCCAACGUAGUCCUCAACUUCAACGCGUUCCUAGAGAAAACCAAGCUGAAAGACGAUGGCAGCAACUAUACGGACUGGGUCCGGAACCUGAGGAUCAUCCUCAUAGCUGCCAAGAAAGAUUAUGUCCUACAAGCACCGCUUGGUGACGCACCCGUUCUCCCUGUAGAACAAGAUGUUAUGAACGCUUGGCAGGCACAUUCCGAUGACUACUCCCUCGUUCAGUGCGGCAUGCUUUACAGCCUAGAGCCGGGGCUCCAAAAGCGUUUUGAGAGACAUGGAGCAUAUGAGAUGUUCGAAGAGCUGAAAAUGGUUUUCCAAGCUCAUGCCCGGGUCGAGAGAUAUGAAGUCUCCGACAAAUUCUUCAGCUGUAAGAUGGAGGAAAACAGUUCUGUCAGUGAGCACAUACUCACUAUGUCUGGGUUGCAUAACCGCUUGACUCAGCUGGGAGUUAAUCUCCCGGAUGAUGCGGUCAUUGACAGAAUCCUCCAGUCGCUUCCACCAAGCUACAAGAGCUUUGUGAUGAACUUCAAUAUGCAGGGGAUGGAAAAGACCAUUCCUGAAGUAUUUGCUAUGCUGAAAUCAGCAGAGGUAGAAGUCAGGAAGGAACAUCAAGUGUUGAUGGUCAAUAAAACCACUAAGUUCAAGAAAGGCAAGGGUAAAAAGAACUUCAAGAAGGACGGCAAGGAGGUUGCCGCGCCCGGCAAGCAAGCUGCCGGGAAGAAGCCAAAGAAUGGACCCAAGCCCGAGACUGAGUGCUUUUAUUGCAAGGGAAGCGGUCACUGGAAGCGGAACUGCCCUAAGUACUUAGCGGAUAAGAAGGCCGGCAAAACAAAAGGUAUAUGUGAUAUACAUGUAAUUGAUGUGUACCUUACUAGUGCCCGUAGUAGCUCCUGGGUAUUUGAUACCGGUGCAGUUGCUCACAUUUGUAACUCAAAGCAGGGGCUGCGGAAUAAGCGGAAACUGGCAAAGGACGAGGUGACGAUGCGCGUCGAGAAUGGUCCCAAGGUCAAUGUGGUCGCCGUCGGCACGCUACCUCUGCAUCUCCCUUCAGGAUUAGUUUUAAACCUUAAUAAUUGUUAUUUAGUGCCAGCUUUGAGCAUGAACAUUGUAUCGGGAUCUCGUUUAAUUCGAGAUGGCUACUCUUUUAAAUCUGAGAAUAAUGGUUGUUCCAUUUUUAUGAGAGAUAUGUUUUAUGGUCAUGCUCCUAUGGUGAAUGGUUUAUUCUUUAUGAAUCUCGAACGUGAUGCUACACAUGUUCAUAAUGUGAGUACCAAAAGAAGUAAGGUUGAUAAUGAUAGUCCCACGUACCUGUGGCACUGCCGCCUUGGUCACAUAGAGGUCAAACGCAUGAAGAAGCUCCAUGCUGAUGGACUUUUAGAGUCUCUUGAUUAUGAAUCAUUUGACACAUGCGAACCAUGCCUUAUGGGUAAAAUGACCAAGACUCCGUUCUCAGGAACAAUGGAGCGAGCAAACGACUUAUUGGAAAUCAUACAUACUGAUGUGUGCGGUCCAAUGAGUGUUGAGGCUCGCGGUGGCUAUUGUUAUGUUCUCACCCUCACUGAUGAUUUAAGUAGGUAUGGGUAUAUCUACUUAAUGAAACACAAGUCUGAAACCUUUGAAAAGUUCAAGGAAUUUCAGAGUGAGGUUGAAAAUCAACGUGACAGGAAAAUCAAGUUUCUACGAUCAGAUCGUGGAGGAGAAUACUUGAGUCACGAGUUUGGCACACACUUAAGAAAAUGUGGAAUAGUUUCACAACUCACGCCGCCUGGAACACCUCAGCGUAAUGGUGUGUCCGAACGUCGUAAUCGCACUCUAUUAGAUAUGGUGCGAUCUAUGAUGUCUCUUACCGAUUUACCGCUAUCCUUUUGGGGCUAUGCUUUAGAGACUGCUGCAUUCACUUUAAAUAGGGCACCGUCGAAAUCCGUUGAGACGACACCGUAUGAAUUGUGGUUUGGGAAGAAACCUAAGCUGUCGUUUCUAAAAGUUUGGGGAUGCGAUGCUUAUGUCAAGAAACUUCAACCUGAAAAGCUCGAACCCAAGUCGGAAAAAUGCGUCUUCAUAGGAUACCCAAAAGAAACUAUUGGGUACACCUUCUACCUCAGAUCCGAAGGCAAGAUCUUUGUUGCCAAGAAUGGGUCCUUUCUGGAGAAAGAGUUUCUCUCGAAAGAAGUAAGUGGGAGGAAAGUAGAGCUUGAUGAAGUAUUACCUCUUGAACCGGAAAAUGGCGCAACUCAAGAAAAUGUUCCUGAGGUGCCUGCACCGACUAGAGAGGAAGUUAAUGAUCAAGAUACUUCUGAUCAAGCCCCUACUGAAAUUCGAAGGUCCACAAGGACACGUUCCGCACCAGAGUGGUACGACAACCCUGUCUUGGAAAUCAUGCUGUUAGACAACGGUGAACCUUCGAACUAUGAAGAAGCGAUGGCGGGCCCGGAUUCCGACAAAUGGCUAGAAGCCAUGAAAUCCGAGAUAGGAUCCAUGUAUGAAAACAAAGUAUGGACUUUGACUGACUUGCCCGUUGAGCGGCGAGCCAUAGAAAAUAAAUGGAUCUUUAAGAGGAAGACAGACGCGGAUGGUAAUGUGACCAUCUAUAAAGCUCGGCUUGUCGCUAAGGGUUAUCGACAAGUUCAAGGGGUUGACUACGAUGAGACUUUCUCACCGGUAGCGAAGCUGAAGUCCGUUCGAAUCAUGUUAGCAAUUGCCGCAUUCUAUGAUUACGAAAUAUGGCAAAUGGACGUCAAAACGGCAUUCCUUAAUGGUUUCCUUAAGGAAGAAUUGUAUAUGAUGCAGCCGGAAGGUUUUGUCGAUCCUGAGAAUGCUGACAAAGUGUGCAAGCUCCAACGCUCGAUUUAUGGGCUGGUGCAAGCAUCUCGGAGUUGGAACAUUCGCUUUGAUGAGAUGAUCAAAGCGUUUGGGUUUACACAGACUUAUGGAGAAGCCUGCGUUUACAAGAAAGUGAGUGGGAGCUCUGUAGCAUUUCUCAUAUUAUAUGUAGAUGACAUACUUUUGAUGGGAAAUGAUAUAGAACUCUUGGACAGCAUCAAGGCCUACUUGAAUAAAAGUUUUUCAAUGAAGGACCUUGGAGAAGCUGCUUAUAUAUUAGGCAUCAAAAUCUAUAGAGAUAGAUCGAGACGCCUCAUAGGUCUUUCACAAAGCACAUACCUUGAUAAAAUAUUGAAGAAGUUCAAUAUGGAUCAAUCCAAGAAGGGGUUCUUGCCUGUGUUACAAGGUAUGAAAUUGAGCUCAGCUCAAUGUCCGACCACGGCAGAAGAUAUAGAAGAGAUGAGCGUCAUCCCCUAUGCCUCAGCCAUAGGUUCUAUUAUGUAUGCCAUGCUGUGUACCAGACCUGAUGUUAACCUUGCCAUCAGUUUGGUAGGAAGGUACCAAAGUAAUCCCGGCAAGGAACACUGGACAGCGGUCAAGAAUAUCCUGAAGUACCUGAAAAGGACUAAGGAAAUGUUUCUUGUUUAUGGAGGUGACGAAGAGCUCGUCGUAAAGGGUUACGUCGACGCUAGCUUCGACACAGAUCUGGAUGACUCUAAGUCACAAACCGGAUACGUGUAUAUUUUGAAUGGUGGGGCAGUAAGCUGGUGCAGUUGCAAGCAAAGCGUCGUGGCGGGAUCUACAUGUGAAGCGGAGUACAUGGCAGCCUCGGAGGCAGCACAUGAAGCAAUAUGGGUGAAGGAGUUCAUCACCGACCUAGGAGUCAUACCCAAUGCGUCGGGGCCGAUCAAGCUCUUCUGUGACAACACUGGAGCUAUUGCACUUGCCAAGGAGCCCAGGUUUCACAAGAAGACAAGGCACAUCAAGCGUCGCUUCAACUCCAUUCGUGAAAAUGUUCAAGAUGGAGACAUAGAGAUUUGUAAAGUACAUACGGACCUGAAUAUACCAGAUCCGUUGACUAAACCUCUCCCUAGAGCAAAACAUGAUCAACACCAGAAUUCCAUGGGUGUUCGAUUCAUCACAAUGUAACUAGAUUAUUGACUCUAGUGCAAGUGGGAGACUGUUGGAAAUAUGCCCUAGAGGCAAUAAUAAAAGCAUUAUUAUUAUAUUUCCUUGUUCAUGAUAAUUGUCUUUAUUCAUGCUAUAAUUGUGUUAUCCGGAAAUCGUAAUACAUGUGUGAAUAACAGACACCAACAUGUCCCUAGUGAGCCUCUAGUUGACUAGCUCGUUGAUCAACAGAUAGUCAUGGUUUCCUGACUAUGGACACUGGAUGUCAUUGAUAACGAGAUCACAUCAUUGGGAGAAUGAUGUGAUGGACAAGACCCAAUCCUAAACAUAGCACAAGAUCGUAUAGUCCGUUUGCUAGAGUUUUCCAAUGUCAAAGUAUCUUUUCCUUAGACCAUGAGAUCGUGUAACUCCCGGAUACCGUAGCAGUGCUUUGGGUAUGCCAAACGUCACAACAUAACUGGGUGACUAUAAAGGUAGACUAUGGGUAUCUCCGAAACUGUCUGUUGGGUGACAUGGAUCAAGACUGGGAUUUGUCACUCCGUAUGACGGAGAGGUAUCACUGGGCCCACUCGGUAAUGCAUCAUCAUAAUGAGCUCAGAGUGACCAAGUGUCUGGUCACGGGAUCAUGCAUUACGGUACGAGUAAAGUGACUUGCCAGUAACGAGAUUGAACGAGGUAUUGGGACACCGACGAUCGAAUCUCGGGCAAGUAACAUAUCGAUAGACAAAGGGAAUAAUGUACGGGAUUGAUUAAAUCCUCGACAUCGUGGUUCAUCCGAUGAAGAUCAUCGUGGAGCAUGUGGGAGCCAACAUGGGUAUCCAGAUCCCGCUGUUGGUUAUUGACCGGAGAGUCGUCUCGGUCAUGUCUGCUUGUCUCCCGAACCCGUAGGGUCUACACACUUAAGGUUCGGUGACGCUAGGGUUAUGAAGAUAUGUAUAUGCAGAAACCCGAAUGUUGUUCGGAGUCCCGGAUGAGAUCCCGGACGUCACGAGGAGUUCCGGAAUGGUCCGUAGGUAAAGAAUUAUAUAUAGGAAGUGCUAUUUCGGGCAUCGGGACAAGUUUCGGGGUUAUCGGUAUUGUACGGGGACCACCGGAAGGGUCCCGGGGGUCCACCGGGUGGGGCCACCUGUCCCGGGGGGCCACAUGGGCUGUAGGGGGUGCGCCUUGGCCUAGAUGGGCCAAGGGAACCAGCCCCUAUAGGCCCAUGCGCCUAGGGUUUCCACCAUGGAAGAGUCCAUGUGGUGGAAGGCACCCCUAGGUGCCUUGGGGGGGAGGGAAACCUCCCCUUGGCCGCCGCCCCCGUUAGUAGAUCUCAUCUACUAGGGCCGGCGCCCCCCUGGCACCCCUAUAUAUAGUGGGGGGGAGAGGAGGGAUUUCACACCAGCCCCUGGCGCCUCCAUCUCCCCCCGUUACGUCUCUCCCUCGUAGUCUCGGCGAAGCCCUGCUGCUGUGACGCCCUGCAUCCACCACCACGCCGUCGUGCUGCUGGAUCUUCAUCAACCUCUCCUUCCCCCUUGCUGGAUCAAGAAGGAGGAGACGUCUCCCGUCCCGUACGUGUGUUGAACGCGGAGGUGCCGUCUGUUCGGCGCUGGUCAUCGGUGAUUUGAAUCACGUCGAGUACGACUACAUCAUCACCGUUCUUUUGAACGCUUCCGUGCGCGAUCUACAAAGGUAUGUAGAUGCAUCUAAUCACUCGUUGCUAGAUGAACUCCUAGAUGAUCUUGGUGAAACGAGCAGGAAAGUUUUUGUUUUCUGCAACGUUCCCCAACACAUCGAGCUUAAACAUAUCGCAAACGUAAAAACAAUAUAACGGGAUUAAUAUAUAUUGCGCACGUGCGAUAUGUUUGUCACAAGGCGCAAAAAAUAAUUAAAAAGGGGAUGCAACACGAGGACUUCCCAAGAGGUCACCCAUCCUAGUACUACUCUCGCCCAAGCACGCUUCACUUCGGAGUUCUGAUGGGAUCCGGUGCUUUAGUGCUGGUAUGAUCGCAUCCGACAUAUUUCCCCUUCUUCGUCCCUUAUGCUUGCCACUCCCAUGUCCUCCCCAAAGACGAUUCUACAUUCUCACUACCAUUACAAUCGUUCCCUAACAAUGGAUAAUGUCCUAUACUACUUACUCUCCCGCUCAAUCACGGAGACGAGUUUUCCACGGUUUCCACCCCUCCCUCCAUACCGCAGCAACACGAGUUUUUUCCACCCCUUGCAGAACGCGCUCUUCGCGCCACAAAGCCGCCCCAAGACGCGCGAGCAAUGAGCAUCGAGCUUAAACAUAUCGCAAACGUCAAAAAUAAUAUAACGGGAUUAAUAUAUAUCGCGCAUGUGCGAUAUGUUUGUCACAAGGCGUAAAAAUAAUUAAAAAGGGAAUGCAACACGAGGACUUCCCAGGAGGUCACCCAUCCUGGUACUACUCUCGCCCAAGCACGCUUAACUUCGGAGUUCUGGUGGGAUCCGUUGCUUUACUGCUGGUAUGAUUGCAUCCGAGAUGUUUCCCCGUCUUCGUCCCUUAUGCUUGCCACUCCCAGGUCCGCUCCAAAGACGAUUAUGCAUUCUCACUACCAUUACAACCGUUCCCUAACAAUGGAUAAUGUCCUAUACUACUUACUCUCCCGCUCAAUCACGGAGACGAGUUUUCCACGGUUUCCACCCCUCCCUCCAUACCGCAGCAACACGAGUUUUUUCCACCUCUUUCAGAAUGCGCUCUUCGCGCCACAAAGCCGCCCCAAGACGCGCGAGCAAUGAGCAUCGAGCUUAAACAUAUCGCAAACGUCAAAAAUAAUAUAACGAGAUUAAUAUAUAUCGCGCACGUGCGAUAUGUUUGUCACAAGGCGCAAAAAAUAAUUAAAAAGGGAAUGCAACACGAGGACUUCCUAGGAGGUCACCCAUCCUAGUACUACUCUCGCCCAAGCACGCUUAACUUCAAAGUUCUGAUGGGAUCCGGUGCUUUAGUGCUGGUAUGAUCCCAUCCGACAUGUUUCCCCGUCUUCGUCCCUUAUGCUUGCCACUCCCAGGUCCGCUCCAAGGAUGAUUCUACAUUCUCACUACCAUUACAACCGUUCCCUAACAAUGGAUAAUAUCCUAUACUACUUACUCUCCCGCUCAAUCACGGAGACGAGUUUUCCACGGUUUCCACCCCUCCCUCCAUACCGCAGCAACACAAAUUUUUUCCACCCCUUUCAGAACGCGCUCUUCGCGCCACAAAGCCGCCCCAAGACGCGCGGGCAAUGAGCAUCGAGCUUAAACAUAUCGCAAACGUCAAAAACAAUAUAACGGGAUUAAUAUAUAUCGCGCACGUGUGAUAUGUUUGUCACAAGGCGCAAAAAAUAAUUAAAAAGGGAAUGCAACACGAGGACUUCCCAAGAGGUCACCCAUCCUAGUACUACUCUCUCCCAAGCACGCUUAACUACGGAGUUUUGAUGGGAUCCGGUGCUUUAGUGCUGGUAUGAUCACAUCUGACAUGUUUCCCCGUUUUCGUCCCUUAUGCUUGCCACUCCCAGGUCCGCUCCAAAGACGAUUCUACAUUCUCACUACCAUUACAACCGUUCCCUAACAAUGGAUAAUGUCCUAUACUACUUACUCUCGCGCUCAAUCACGGAGACGGGUUUUCCACGGUUUCCACCCCUACCUCCAUACCGCAGCAACACGAGUUUUUUCCACCCCUUUCAGAACACGCUCUUCGCGCCACAAAGCCGCCUCAAGACGCGCGAGAAAUGAGCAUCGAGCUUAAACAUAUCGCAAACGUCAAAAAUAAUAUAACGGGAUUAAUAUAUAUCGCGCAUGUGCGAUAUGUUUGUCACAAGGCGCAAAAAAUUAUUAAAAAGGGAAUGCAACACGAGGACUUCCCAGGAGGUCACCCAUGCUAGUACUACUCUCGCCCAAGCACGCUUAACUUCGGAGUUCUGAUGGGAUCCAGUGCUUUAGUGCUGGUAUGAUCGCAUCCGACAUGUUUCCCCGUCUUCGUCCCUUAUGCUUGCCAUUCCCAGGUCCGCUCCAAAGACGAUUCUACAUUCUCACUACCAUUACAACCGUUACCUAACAAUGGAUAAUGUCUUAUACUACUUACUCUCCCGCUCAAUCACGGAGACGAGUUUUCCACGGUUUCCACCCCUCCCUCCAUACCGCAGCAACACGAGUUUUUUCCACCCCUUUCAGAACGCACUCUUCGCGCCACAAAGCCACCCAAGACGCGCGAGCAAUGAGCAUCGAGCUUAAACAUAUCGCAAACGUCAAAAAUAAUAUAACGGGAUUAAUAUAUAUCGCGCACGUGCGAUAUGUUUGUCACAAGGCGCAAAAAAUAAUUAAAAAGGGAAUGCAAGACGAGGACUUCCCAGGAGGUCACCCAUCCUAGUAGUACUCUCGCCCAAGCACGCUUAGCUUCGGAGUUCUGAUGGGAUCCGGUGCUUUAGUGCUGGUAUGAUCGCAUCCGACAUGUUUCCCCGUCUUCGUCCCUUAUACUUGCCACUCCUAGGUCCGCUCCAAAGACGAUUCUACAUUCUCACUACCAUUACAACCGUUCCCUAACAAUGGAUAAUGUCCUAUACUACUUACUCUCCCGCUCAAUCACGGAGACGAGUUUUCCACGGUUUCCACCCCUCCCUCCAUAACGCAGCAACACGAGUUUUUUCACCCCUUUCAGAACGCGCUCUUCGUGCCACAAAGCCGCCCCAAGACGCGCGAGCAAUGAGCAUCGAGCUUAAACAUAUCGCAAACGUCAAAAAUAAUAUAACGGGAUUAAUAUAUAUCGCACACGUGCGAUAUGUUUGUCACAAGGCGCAAAAAAGAAUUAAAAAGGGAAUGCAACAUGAGGACUUCCCAGGAGGUCACCCAUGCUAGUACUACUCUCGCCCAAGCACGCUUAACUUCGGAGUUCUGAUGGGAUCCGGUGCUUUAGUGCUGGUAUGAUCGCAUCCGACAUGUUUCCCCGUCUUCGUCCCUUAUGCUUGCCAUUCCCAGGUCCGCUCCAAAGACGAUUCUACAUUCUCACUACCAUUACAACCGUUACCUAACAAUGGAUAAUGUCCUAUACUACUUACUCUCCCGCUCAAUCACGGAGACGAUUUUUCCACGGUUUCCACCCCUCCCUCCAUACCGCAGCAACACGAGUUUUUUCCACCCCUUUCAGAACGCACUCUUCGCGCCACAAAGCCACCCAAGACGCGCGAGCAAUGAGCAUCGAGCUUAAACAUAUCGCAAACAUCAAAAAUAAUAUAACGGGAUUAAUAUAUAUCGCGCACGUGCGAUAUGUUUGUCCCAAGGCGCAAAAAAUAAUUAAAAAGGGAAUGCAACACGAGGACUUCCCAGGAGGUCACCCAUCCUAGUACUACUCUCGCCCAAGCACGCUUAGCUUCGGAGUUCUGAUGGGAUCCGGUGCUUUAGUGCUGGUAUGAUCGCAUCCGACAUGUUUCCCCAUCUUCGUCCCUUAUGCUUGCCACUCCCAGGUCCGCUCCAAAGACGAUUCUACAUUCUCACUACCAUUACAACCCUUCCCUAACAAUGGAUAAUGUCCUAUACUACUUACUCUCCCGCUCAAUCACGGAGACGAGUUUUCCACNNNNNNNNNNNNNNNNNNNNNNNNNNNNNNNNNNNNNNNNNNNNNNNNNNNNNNNNNNNNNNNNNNNNNNNNNNNNNNNNNNNNNNNNNNNNNNNNNNNNNNNNNNNNNNNNNNNNNNNNNNNNNNNNNNNNNNNNNNNNNNNNNNNNNNNNNNNNNNNNNNNNNNNNNNNNNNNNNNNNNNNNNNNNNNNNNNNNNNNNNNNNNNNNNNNNNNNNNNNNNNNNNNNNNNNNNNNNNNNNNNNNNNNNNNNNNNNNNNNNNNNNNNNNNNNNNNNNNNNNNNNNNNNNNNNNNNNCGGUUUCCACCCCUAAAAGGGAAUGCAACACGAGGACUUCCCAGGAGGUCACCCAUCCUAGUACUACUCUCGCCCAAGCACGCUUAACUUUGGAGUUCUGAUGGGAUCCGAUGCUUUAGAGCUGGUAUGAUCGCAUCCGACAUGUUUCCCCGUCUUCGUCCCUUAUGCUUGUUACUCCCAGGUCCGCUCCAAAGACGAUUCUACAUUCUCACUACCAUUACAACCGUUCCCUAACAAUGGAUAAUGUCCUAUACUACUUACUCUCCCGCUCAAUCACGGAGACGAGUUUUCCACGGUUUCCACCCCUCCCUCCAUACCGCAGCAACACGAGUUUUUUCCACCCCUUUUAGAACGCGCUCUUUGCGCCACAAAGCCGCCAUAGGACGCGCGAGCAAUGAGCAUCGAGCUUAAACAUAUCGCAAACGUCAAAAAUAAUAUAACGGGAUUAAUAUAUAUUACGCAUGUGCGAUAUGUUUGUCACAAGGCGCAAAAAAUAAUUAAAAAGGGAAUGCAACAUGGGGAUUUCCCAGGAGGUCACCCAUCCUAGUACUGCUCUCGCCCAAGCACUCUUAACUUUGGAGUUCUGAUGGGAUCCGGUGCUUUAGUGCUGGUAUGAUCGCAUCCGACAUGUUUCCCCGUCUUCGUGCCGUAUGCUUGCCACUCUCAGGUCCGCUCCAAAGACGAUUCUACAUUCUCACUACCAUUACAACCGUUCCCUAACAAUGGACAAUGUCCUAUACUACUUACUCUCCCGCUCAAUCACGGAGAUGAGUUUUCCACGGUUUCCACCCCUCCCUCCAUACCGCAGCAACACGAGUUUUUUCCACCCCUUUCAGAACGCGCUCUUCGCGCCACAAAGCCGCCCCAAGACGCGUGAGCAAUGAGCAUCGAGCUUAAACAUAUCGCAAACGUCAAAAAUAAUAUAACGGGAUUAAUAUAUAUCGCGCACGCGCGAUAUGUUUGUCACAAGGCGCAACAAAUAAUUAAAAAGGAAAUGCAACACGAGGACUUCCCAAGAGGUCACCCAUCCUAGUACUACUCUCGCCCAAGCACGCUUAACUUCGGAGUUUUGAUGGGAUCCAGUGCUUUAGUGCUUGUAUGAUCGCAUCCGACAUGUUUCCCCGUCUUCGUCCCUUAUGCUUGCCAUUCCCAGGUCCGCUCCAAAGACGAUUCUACAUUCUCACUACCAUUACAACCGUUACCUAACAAUGGAUAAUGUCCUAUACUACUUACUCUCCCGCUCAAUCACGGAGACGAGUUUUCCACGGUUUCCACCCCUCCCUCCAUACUGCAGCAACACGAGUUUUUCCACCCCUUUCAGAACGCGCUCUUCGCGCCACAAAGCCACCCCAAGACGCGCGGGCAAUGAGCAUUGAGCUUAAACAUAUCGCAAACGUCAAAAAUAAUAUAACGGGAUUAAUAUAUAUCGCGCACGUGAGAUAUGUUUGUCACAAGGCGCAAAAAAUAAUUAAAAAGGGAAUGCAACACGAGGACUUCCCAGGAGGUCACCCAUCCUAGUACUACUCUCGCCCAAGCACGCUUAGCUUCGGAGUUCUGAUGGGAUCCGGUGCUUUAGUGCUGGUAUGAUCGCAUCCGACAUGUUUCCCCAUCUUCGUCCCUUAUGCUUGCCACUCCCAGGUCCGCUCCAAUAUGAUUCUACAUUCUCACUACCAUUACAACCGUUCCCUAACAAUGGAUAAUGUCCUAUACUACUUACUCUCCCGCUCAAUCACGGAGACGAGUUUUCCACGGUUUCCACCCCUCCCUCCAUACCGCAGCAACACGAGUUUUUUCCACCUCUUUCAAAACGCGCUCUUCGUGCCACAAAGCCGCCCCAAGACGAGCGAGCAAUGAGCAUCGAGCUUAAACAUAUCGCAAAUGUCAAAAAUAAUAUAACGGGAUUAAUAUAUAUCGCGCACGUGCGAUAUGUUUGUCACAAGGCGCAAAAAAUAAUUAAAAAGGGAAUGCAACAUGAGGACUUCCUAGGAGGUCACCCAUGCUAGUACUACUCUCGCCCAAGCACGCUUAACUUCGGAGUUCUGAUGGGAUCCGGUGCUUUAGUGCUGGUAUGAUCACAUCCGACAUGUUUCCCCGUCUUUGUCCCUUAUGCUUGCAACUCCCAGGUCCGCUCCAAAGACGAUUCUACAUUCUCACUACCAUUACAACUGUUCCCUAACAAUGGAUAAUGUCCUAUACUACUUACUCUCACGCUCAAUCACAGAGACGGGUUUUCCAUGGUUUCCACCCCUCCCUCCAUACCGCAGCAACACGAGUUUUUUCCACUCCUUUCAGAACGCGCUCUUCGCGCCACAAAGCCGCCCCAAGACGCGCGAGCAAUGAGCAUCGAGCUUAAACAUGUCGCAAACGUCAAAAAUAAUAUAACGGGAUUAAUAUAUAUCGCGCAUGUGCGAUAUGUUUGUCACAAGGCGCAAAAAAUAAUUAAAAAGGGAAUGCAACACGAGGACUUCCCAGG